CUUGGAUUUGAAAAAGUGGUCAGGUAUUCAUUUUAGUUUGGUCAGUACAGUUUGAUUCUGUGGUUCCAUGAUCCUGGUCAGGAGCUAAGCUUUCUGAACAUGAUGGAAUUUUCCUCAGUGUCAACAAGUCUAGUAACCACCUCUCCCUCACAGCUUUCUCCUUCCUGCAGUAACUCCUGAAUUUGAAUAGGAAUCAUUCCGGGUUGCUCCAUCAGUAGCUCUCACCAACUUCCAUCUUUCCAGUCUUUGUGAGCAUCGCAUUCCCAGGACAGUUCCCAGGGCGAACUACAUGACCACAUGAGGAGAACCAGGCUUCAGAAAGUGGGGAGCUCUACAACUAAGGUUAGUGAAUGUCCCACUCACCCCAACACCUCCCAGGCCCCAUCUCCCAGCCUGCUGUAAUCAGAAUUUUUAAAACAUGAAAUAAAAUGGAAUAGAAUAGAAAAUGUCUGACUACAGCACAUGUGGUCAGGUCGAGCAGUUAUGUACAAUUGUAUACAAACACGGGGUUUACUGUGGGUCAUGCCAUGUUAUUCUGCCUUUAUUUUUGUUGCCCUCUUACUCAUUUUCCACCCUGAGAAUCACCUUUCUAAAAAGCAAGUGCAAUAUAGGAAAGGUUAAGUACUGCACCCAAAGUCAAAAGAAGCCGGAGUUGAAAUCUGCCUCUGGCACCUCAUGGCUGUGUGAUCAUACAUGGGUAACAUCAGCAAUGACCUUUGUUCUCCCCAUAUGUUAAGUGGGAAAAGUAUCAUGAAUCCAGGGUCAGGGCCACAGCCAGCCUCACACAAGCCACUUUAAAUCACAUACUUUUAAUCUUUGCCAGAAUCCAAAGGUAUUUAUAUUAUUUUUGUUUUGUUAAUGGAACUGAAGCUCAGAGAAACUAAGUAAUUUGCUCAUGGUCACAUUGCUAGUAUGUUUCUGAGCAAGGAUUUCAUUUCAAGAUUCUCCACGUUCUUUCCAUUGAGCAUGAAUUUCUGCUGCCCUAUAUCUGAGGUUUGUCAGCUCAUGACUGACUUCUCAGAGUCACAUAACUCAAUUAAUUGCAUAUGUAUUAAGCAUUACUUUUGUACAUAACUCAAGUUGGGGGCUAUAGGGAAAAGACAAAAGUACGAUGUGUACUGCUCUAUGGAAUGUACAUUUAACUUCUAACACUGAUAAUACAGACCAACAGUCAGUGUGUUGAUGGUGCUGACUAUAUGAAGCAUGUUAAGAUAUUUUCAAAUUGUAACAUUAUUCUAUUAUAAAUUUAAGUUACUCUUAAUGAAAGAAAUCAAUUUAUAUUUCAUACAAUGCAUCAAGAUUCUAGUUUAAUGGUAUAAUUUGUAGAUUAAAAAUCCAUAUGGAUAUGAAAUGAAUAUAAGUUGGUUAUUUUAAAAUUGAGAGGAAGGUGCCCCUUUUCAGAGAUUAAGACUAUAGGAAUGACACAGUGGUCUCUUGCAUUUUUAAAAAUAAGCCCCAAUGUAUUUGUAUUUUACCGAAUUAUCAGCAUUUUUAUAAAUAAAAUUGGUCUACUUUCCAAUUAAGGACUAAUAGGAACCAUAAAUGGGCAUAAUUACUUGGUGUCAAUUAAAAAUAAAAAAAUAUAUUUUUAAUAAACAUAAUUUGCUUAAGACUGCCUAGUAAUCAUGAAACCAAGUCACUUGGCAAUGAGUUUAAAAGCAUGUGUGUACAAGCAGCAGGGAGAGAAACUUAAUUAACAUUACCCUAUAGCCCUUUCCUACCUGGUAUGCUCCUAAAAGAGAGAGGAGUUUCAAUCAUAAUCUGAGGAAGACACAACUAUAUUUCUGAUAUAAAAAAUUAAUUAAUUCUGAAUGAAGUUAUUCUAACAGUUGUGAUCAUCCUAAGGUCAAGAAUUAAAAUCAGAAAUAUUAAUAAUAUUUAUAUUUUCUAUUUUGUCAUCCUUGAACUAUGCUCGAAGUUUCUUAGUAGUCAAUGCUUUUAGUUUGAAAAUAACUUUAAGACAGUUUUUAUUCAAGUUAUCCAUUAUUUUUACUUUUUAUUAUGUUUUUUCAGGAAGUUCCUUUUCUGUAAGCAUGUAAGAAUAAAUAUGUAAUGGAUUGUGAAAAAACAAAGAAUUAAUAGGAAAGAACAUUUUUGGAAAAAAAAAAAACAGUAUUCUUUAAAGGGCUCAAAGGAAGCUGCUGGUCACUCGUCAGAACGAGCCGCACCCUUCCACAUUUUGUUUACUCUUUCUGCUUUCCCUAUUUAUUGUUUUAAAUUGACUUUCCAUUCCUCUAGUGAGCACCAUGUUCUAAGCAAAGCUGGGAAAUUCAGUUUAUAUACACAGUACUGACUUAUCGGUUUUUCUAUCAGGAAUUAUUUAAUACACAUAAGGAAUUAUUUAAUACCAUGGAAAAGGAUGUCAUACUGAAGAGCAGGCUCGUGUACUUGGAGAAGACCCUGGAAGGGUGCAGGUGCUUCUGUAGCCCAUCUCUGUAGUGUGGAGGAGACAGGAAGACCCAACAAGAUGCCCUAGGGCCUUUGCAGUUGUUGAUGUAGAAGAGACUCAGUCAGGGUUUCCCUUGAAAUAUUAAAAAAAAAAAAAAAAAAACACGAGCUAUAUCAUUAUCUUGGUCUAACUGAUAUUUAAACAUUAUACCCUGUUGUUAUCAUUUCUGGACACUAAGCUUGUUUCUUAGCUAUAACCUCUGAGAACACUCUAAGAAAAAAAAUCCCAGGAAGAAUUAAGUUUUCAAUUUCCUUUCUUUGAAUUUCUUUGUUUGCAAUAAAAUUAAUAUUAAAGCUUCUAGAAGAAAACCAGCACCACUUAUAUCCUAUUUAGGAUAAAUACAGCAUACAUAUUUAUCUGGAAAUCAAAAGUUAAUUUUACUGUUGCUAUUUUCCAUGUGAAAAUUUCAAAGGAUCCUGGAACAUUUCUCAAAUAGAUGAGACCUUGCAUGCAGAUACAUACCCUCAGAGGUUUGUGAUAAAUGGGAUUCUCUUGUUACUGUACUAAAGGCUUAAUUUUUAAAAAUUCUCUGAAAAAUUAUCAGAUCCAAGAUAAAAUACACAGAAAGAAUCUUUAAAAACAUCAUGAAAAUGAGACAAAACAUUUGACAAGAAAAAGACAACUUGAGCUAUAACCCAUACAAAUCCCCCAGCUGCCUGGGUAUUCCCAGGCAGUACAAGAUAACAGAAUUCCAUUCUUGUGAUGUGUGGGAGUUGGCACGUAUAAAAGAAAGCAGUUUGUGGUUAGUGAAGGCACAAUGUGAAAAUGUACACAUUGUAUCAUUCUUGUCAAGGAAAUGAUCCUGGGGUUUAAUCCAUUGUGAAGGUGUAUGGUGCUAGCCCCUAUGGGAUUGUGAGGUUAAAAGGUGGCCUCUCUUAGGACCAUGUUAGUUAAAUGUGGGUAACAUUAGGUCAGAAACCAAGAACUGGAAAUAUCCACCAACAUAAUAGGAAAAGGUCUGCAUUAUGUGGAAUGGAAUUAAAAUAUGAAUGUAUAAAGGAGCACACAUUAAAAAGGAAAAUAUACUAAUGAACUUCACACAAAAAAAUAACCAGAUUAAAAGUGUUAUGUCUUGAAGGAAGUGAUAACAUUGGUUUAUCCAGCAUAGUGGGAUGAGAUGACACAGUAUUGGAGAAAAUGCUGUCAAAGAGCUGAAGGCUUUGUUAUUUGCUUAGGAAAUAUAUAAUGAGUGCCUCUUCAGUAUAUAUCACAGCACUACUGUGAAAUAAUCUUUUAAAAAGCUAUGAGAUGUGAUGUUGUGACCUCACCUAGAGUUUGCAUUUUUACAGGAACAAUUGGAUAGUACAAUGAUUUUUUUAAGUAUUAUCAGUUUUCAUCCUCUUUAGAUAUAUAAGAAAAAUUAAUGUGGGGGUAAAUUAAAGCAAUAGCUGAACUAAUGUGGGCUAAAAGCAAUUUCUGAAAGAAAAAAAUGUAUUGCUUUUUCAUGCAUGAGUGUGUGUGUGUGUGUGUGUGUGUGUGUGUGUGUAAGAGGAGGCAGGGAGCAGGUAUGUGUAUGUGUGUGGAGGGGGUCAUCUUAUAGUAUAAUUUGUUAUUUUAGAGAAAUUCAGCUUAUUAUCUAUUGUCAUCUAGCUUCUAUACCUAUUAACAGCCAUUCUUUAGCUUUUAAUCUUCUCAGUUAUUUGGCCACUUAUUUUGGUGAGGAGAGUCUUUUACCAAAUGUCUUGUGUUCCCUUAAAUACAGACUUGCUCAUGAAAAUCACAAAUCACUUGGUUUGGUUUAUAAUUUCAAAGGCAAAUUGUUUUGAUCACUACAUCAAAAUUUCAGUCUGAAGCACAAUGAAUAAUUAUGCUGAAAAAAUAGGUAUUACUUUCCCAGUUGAUGUUUAUCAUGUAUGAUAUCAUAUAAAUGCAAUAUUUCUUAUGUGAACAAGCUUGACCACUUAUAUAAAAUAAUAUCCAAUUGAACAUUUUACAUCUAGUUUCCAAAGUAAUUGUGCUGGGUGAAAGAAGUCAGACACAAAAAUGUAUACAUUGUGUAGUUAUAUUUAUAUAAAAUUCCAGAUAAUUGCUAAAUACUCUACAGAGAGAGAAAAUGAAUGGAUAAUUUCCUGGAGGAGAGGGCAAGGAAGUGAGGCAGGAAGAGGUUACAAAGGGACACAAUGAGACUUUUGGGGUGCUGGAAAUAUUUGUCGUCUGGAUUGUUAGUGAUGGUUUCACAGAUGUAUACACACACUAAAUGUUCUCAAAACUGUACGCUUCAAAUAUGGUCAACUUGUUGUAUGUCAGUUAUACCUCAACCCGUUCUAACAAAAUUCUAAUCUUGAUUAUCAAGUUAUUCUUGUCCAAAUGAUCUGUGCCAAUAUAAUUAGUACACAUUACACAUAUUUGGGAUGAAGGUGAAAAAUAGAGAAAACAGAAACCACAGAUGUGAGAUUAUCAAGAGGAUGGCUCCUUCUUUUGAUGCUGCAUCUAGAGGUCAAGCCUCUUGUGACUUAUCAUCUUCAACUUUUCCAGUAACACUGUUCAGUUUUGCUUUCAUCACUCCAGAACAAAUAACUUUCCAAGUCCUCACGAAGCACUAUUUCCUAGGGUGUUUCGAAAAGCUAAUGCCAGAAAUGCUAGAUAAUAUCUCCCAGGCCUGGAGCUGCAUAAACCAUGGAGCAGAUUUAGUAGCUUCUAUUGAUAAGAGAAAAGGAAAUGAAAAGCGAUGAUUCAAGGACAGAAAAGAUAGUUUAGUACCUUUAUCUUACCAUUAAUAUCUACAAGAAAAACAGUUUUUGAAAGAUAUGAGUUAAGUGUUCAGGGCAUCCCUGCAAUCCGUUAUUUUCACGCUGCAGCCAAAGUGAUAUUUUGAAACUGCAAAUCUGAUCAAGUCACUCCUGCUUAAAAUCCUACUGUGGCUCCCUACUGGCUACUGCCUUUAGGAAAAAUCCUUAGCAUCCCUGGCCAGAUACUUCGUGACUUUACCCUCGUCUCCCUUUUCAGCUCAUCUGGCUCCAUCCUCAGCCACUCUGAAUGCCUCCUUUGCUCUCACUCAAGGCUUUUCAUGCUGUAACGCAGUUUGGGUUCUCCAGGAAGCAGACUGAGGCAGGUUUUAGUGUUCCGGAUGUUUACUAGGGAGUGCUCUUGAGUCAACACCCAUGGAAAGGAGGGGGCGGAAGUAGGAUUGGGAAGAGGGAGAAAUCAAGCUGAGAUGCAAGACUGACAGUCUGGGCCAACUGCACAGGGUGCUCUGAAACUGAAAUAGCCCAUCUGAGGUGGCCUGCGCAUGGGAGGAGGGUGUGACCUUGGCCUGCCUGUGGGAGGAAGGGUGUGACCUUGGUCUGCAGUGGGGGGAAAGGUGUGGCCUUGAUAAGGCACCUCUCUGCAGCUGAGGCAAUGUCUAAGAGACUGGCAUCACUGCUACUACCUGGGGCCACAUAUAAAGGGGGCCCGCCAUUCACCCAGGUCAUUUCAUCUUAUCCUUUGGCCACAGGGUCACCCUCACUUCUUCAGACAGGGAUUUCCAAAUUCCCAAAUUGGCUGGCUUCUCCACCAGUACCAUGCUGCUCAACUCCAUUGUGAUUGGCUGCUCACUUCUGUUUUCUUCUCUAAGACAAUCACUCCAUGGGGAUGGGGAAACUUCUGUAGUAUUCCUUCUACUUCCUCAGUGCCUGCCUCAGUGAGGGCAUACAGCAGGUACUCAGAAUACGGACUGAAUCAGUGAGUGAGACUGAGGUCUACAGAGUUAUGUCCAAUUCAUUCUGCUGUCCUUCCUAUUUCCACGCCCCCCUUCCCUUCAUUCUCCUUUGUCUAAUCCAAAGAAUUUCUAUUCUUCCGUGCCCCCCUUAUGGUGUGUUAGCCUCCACCUUGUGAAGAAAGCCUUCCCUACUUCUUCUGUGCUACCCCUGAUUACCAUUUUGUCAGGACACCAUGCAUACAACUGGACGAUAGCUCUAACCCCACUGAGAACUUCAUGAAAACACUCUUCUUUAUCUUUUGUAUCUUACAUAUUGAGACACUCAAUAACUUUCUUCAGUUGACUUGCAUGAGAAGAAAAACAUCAGAUCUCUUUAGAGAGACGACUAAGGGAUUGAGGCAAUCUGUGAUGUGCUUGCAAAACAAUACAUAGAGUUUGGUAAGCUAAAAAGUCAUUCUUUAUUGCCCUUUUAUUUUUAAUUUAACUAUCACAUCUGUAUACAAAAGCACCCAAAAUAUUAGUGUGCUACUCAAUGAACUGUCAUUAAACAAAGACUUGAUCACCAACCAGGUAAAGAAAUAGAACAUUGUCAGAGUCCCCCUCCUGAAAUCUCAAUCAUCCACCUUUAUCACAGACUUUUCUUUUUACUAUAAAUUGUAUCUGAGCCUUAAGUGUUUAUUCCUCUGAGAAAUAGAUAACUGUCCCACCUUGCUUUCUUUAUGGGCUACCAUGGCAAUUGGUUGACAGUCAUAUAUGAAUACCCUGUCACUGGCAUAGAUUUUUAAAACUGUCAUCUUCUUAAAGAAACACACACAUUUAAUACCCCACAUCUAAGCUUUGAUGCCUCCUUUAUGACUUUUAUUUCCAUGGGCCCCACUUCUUCCUUAUCUCCUUUUACUGUGUAUUCUUUCCCCCAUAUUCUUCCUAAUUAAAACAGUUUACCCACUUCCUUGUAACUUCUGACCUCUCUUCACUUCUUUUUUUUUUGGGGGGGGGUGUCCUGGGGAUUGAACCCAGGGGCACACUUAACUACUGAGCCACUUCCCCAUGUCUUUUAUAUAUUUUAUUUUAAAUAAGAUCCAAAUGUAACUUCUUCCCUUAGUUCAGAGGGCUAAGAUAUAUAAAGGGAACAUGUGUUCAGAUGGGUCAAAAACUGAGUAGAAAAGAUGACAAAUUUAGAGAAAAUGACUUCCUUUUCUGGGUGACAGGCAAAAAAAAAUAUGAAGAAACUGAAACUACUUGACCACAUCAAAGGGUUAAUAGUAAGAGUUGUACUCGGGUACAUGUGUCCCAGUGAUAUAAACAAUGCUGUUAGAGAAGCUACAAUUAACUGAAAUGCUAUUUCUUAGUCAGUGUAGAAGGAAAAAAAUUAAUAAUCACGAAAACUGACUACUUCUCUGGAAAUGUCUCAUUUCUGUAUAUGUCACUGUAAGUGAGCCUUUUCUUUUUCAUUAUGUUCAACGGUUCUUUCCAUUUCUUGUCAAUCUCGUGUCAUUUGAAGAAUAGAUAUCUGCUGAAAUUUGCAAUUACAAGGCAUUGCAUGCAAGGAAUAAAAGUGUUCUGUUAAAUCUUAAUAAGAUGAAAUCGUGGCAAGGAUGUGGUGAAAAAGGUACACUCAUACACUGCUGAUGGGACUGCAAACUGGUGCAGCCAAUAUGGAAAGCCGCAUGGAGAUUUCUUGGAAAAUUGGGAAUGGAACCACCAUUUGACCCAGCUAUCUCUCUCCUCGGUCUAAAACCAAAGGACUUAAAAACAGCAUACUACAGGGACACAGCCACAUCAAUGUUUAUAGCGGCACAAUUCACAUUAGCUAAACUGUAGAACCAACCUAGAUGCCCUUCAAUAGAUGAAUGGAUAAAAAAAUGUGGCAUAUAUACACAAUUCUUACUCAGCAAUAAAUGAAAUAUUACUCAGUAAUAAAAGAGAAUAAAAUCAUGGCAUUUGCAUGUAAAUGAAUGGAGUUAGAAAAGACAAUGCUAAAUGAAGUUAGCCAGUCCAAAAAAACCAAAUGCCAAAUGUUUUCUUUGAUAUAAGGAAGCUGAUUCAUAGAAAAAUAGGGAGAGGGAGCAUGGGAGCAAUAGAGGAACUCUAGAUAGGGCAGAGGGGUUGGAGGGGAAAGGAGGGGGCAUGAGGUUAUUAAUGAUGGUGAAAUGUGAUGAUCAUUAUUAUCCCAAGUAUAGUUAUGAAGACACGAAUUGGUGUGAAUAUACUAUGUAUAUAACCAGAGAUAUGAAAAAUUGUGCUCUAUAUGUAUAAUAAGAAUUAUAAUGCAUUCUGCUGUCAUAUAUAAAUAAAAAAAUCUUAGUAAGGUGCCUCUAAAUAUAUUCAGAACUUAAAAAUUUGUACUGAUACAUAUCUAUCUACAUAGAUAUGUAUAUCUAUAUAUGUAUAUAUAUAUGUAUAUCUAUAUCUAUGUAUCAGCCUUUAUAUUAUAUAUACUGUUAUAUAAAGGAUGAAAAACUGAUCCAAGAAACUCAGAGCCAAGAAUCAGUGCUGGGAUCUGAUAGUGUUCACACAAUUUAACAUUUCAGUCAAGUAUCCAAAGUAAACUAUUCUUCCCAUUUGGAAAAAAAAACUACAAAUGUUGAUGCUGAUACCAACAUGGUUUUUAAUAUCACAUUUGUCUAUAUAAGUAAUUGUCUCCCUAGUAAAUUUCAGGAAACUCAAGGAAGAAAAAAUGUCUUAUUCAUCCACAACACUGAACAUGGAGCCUAAAAGAGAAGGUGUUUCAAGCUUCUUAAGUUUGAAAAUUUCAGUGUCGUGUUCCUUUUCUCUCUCUCAUUGGCUACUCCCAACAGUUAUGAAAUUUAGUAGAUUUCACCUCUGAAGAGAAUGUCUUUUAAUUCUUUCUUCAUAAUUCCCAACACUAUACCCAAGUCCACACUCUUCAUCUGUUAGACUGAUCUCUUUCCUGGUCCCUGUGUCCCUCCUAUCUAUCCAUCUGUUCCAGUCUAUCUUCCACUCAACCCUGGGAGAUAACUUAUUUGUUUUCUUUUUGUAGUGUGUGCAUGCUGGCAAGUGCUCUACCACUGAGCUACACCCUCAGCCCUGGUGUAGCUGGGGUUCAUAUAACAAGGGGAAAGGGAAUUUUUUUGAGUAUCAACUAUAUGCCAGGUACAAUGUUGAAGAUUUAUACUCAGGUUAUUUAAUCAUUAUAAUACCUAUCUGCAGCAGGAUUGUACUGAUAUGGUAUUUCUACAAAAUGCGAUUUAAGUAGAUUAAGUGUCUUUCUGACACUAACUACCUUCCUAAUAGUGUCCCUCUCUUGCAGGUCAUAUUAUCUUUUUGACUAAAAGAAAACCACUAAUGAAUUUUUUUCACUACUGAUUCUAAUUUACAAAAUAAAAUAUAGGGUUUUGUCUUAGCAUACAAAGAAAAUAAAAUUAUGUAUUUCUACUCACUUAUCAAGACUUUGCCUCUACUCCUAUGGGGUACUAUAAACUCCAGUUGGUCUGGACACUCACAGUUUCUCAGACUUCCAGCUCAUUCCAUGAUUCUGUGCCUUUUGCAUGUGCUGGUUUCUGUCUGGAAUGACUUUUCUUUGGCUAGUGCAUUCCUGUUUAACCUUUAAGACUGAGCACAUGUAAGUCAACUGCUCAAAGGCUUUAGUGACUUCCCCAGCAACCAGUUGCUGGAUUUUGUUGAUCACACAAAUAUAGUAACACAUUCUACACACAUUAUAACCCCCUACUAAGUGACCCUGCUUGUGUUUCUGACUUUCUCACUGUAAUGUCUUCAUGAACUGCAUAGUCAUUAAAAUUUGUAUCUCACACACAUUAUAUAAAAGUUUUCACUGAAGAAGAAUGGAAGGAUUAAAUGAUGAUAAGAGAAAAUUAAUUUUUAAGAAACUCCCAGGAAACAGCUUAGAGACAUGCUUUCUAAUAAAUGCUAUCUGCUUGCAUAGUCCUCAAAAUGUGAUUGUUUCACCAGGCAUUUAGGAAAAUCAUUAAGAAGAUACAAUUAGUAGAAAGCAAAACUAUUAAACUUAAACAAUGCAGCAAUAAUAACAGCUAACAUUUAUUGUUCAAUUACUGGGUACUAAGAACUAUCCUAUUUGCUUUUAUGAGCAAACUCAUUCAACCCUCACAACAAUACUAUAAGGUAUUAUGAACCCCAUUUUAAAAUUGAGGAAACUGAGGCACAGAAAAGACUCCUCAUGAAUACAUACAGUUUAUUAAGUGGCAAAACUAGGAUUGAAAGCAGUUAGUCUGGUUCUAGAGCCAUAUUCUUAACUUCUAUACUAUAUUAAUAGAAAGUCAUAAAAAAAUUACUUUUUCAGAAAGUUUAAAAUUUUCAAUCUCUGUUCUAAUUUUUGAAAGAUAGUUUCAAAUCAGAAAGACUUUAUAUAUGAAUAACCAGAAAUGCUACUUAAAACUAAGCUAGGUCAGAAGAAAGUUUAUGAUUCUAUUGAGUAUGGUUACUGAGGAAGAAUAAGACCCAAAUUGUAAGAAUUAAAUUGAAAGAAUACAACCUAACACGCACCUAUCAAGUGAGCAUCUACAUAAUAUAUGUCUAGAACUAGGGUACAAGCUUUGGGAAUCCAAAAGAACUAUAAUAUGUUUCUUAUUCUAAAAUGUAAAUAAUUACUGAAAAAGAUAUGACUCUUACAAAGUAAUUAGAAUAGAUGAUAAAUAAUAAAACUCAUGUAGUACAGGCAAUAAAUGCAAUUAUACAACAAUAUGUUCAAUAUGCAAGUUAUUUUAUUUUUAGAAAUAAUUUUGAACAUUAAACUGGAAAUUCUUUUCUCAAAUGCUUCAGAAUCAUUCCCAUAACAGAAAUUUUAUGAAAUAAAAUUGCUAGUAGCAUAAAAUUUCAUAGGAAUUAAGUUAAGAAACAAAGAACAAAACUGAAAUACUAAGUUCUAGACUGACUUUUGACUAUAAAGAAACAACAACAAAUGAGCAAGCUUUGUUUCAUGGUAUGACUAAAAUGGAAUAGCAUUAGGAAAACUGGCUCAGGAAGUCAGAACACAAUAUCAAUCAGUAAGACUUUCCAUACCUUUCUAGUCACAGGAAGUCUUAAAAUAUCAGUCCAUUCAGCUUGCAUGUGUAGCAAAGGUAAAAUUUCUAUUGAAAAUAUUUCAUAAGAUACAAACGAUCUGCUUCAUCAAAUUCAAGUUAAUCUUUUUUUGUUAUGGUUUGAUUUUUGGCAGUACUAGGGAUUGAACCCCACGAAGCUUUACCACUUAGCUACAACCCCAUUUCUUUUUUAUUUUGAGACAUGAUCUUGCGAAAUUACCAAGGCUGGCCUUGAACUUAUUUCUUCCUGCCUCAGCCUCCUGAGUUGCUAGGAUUACAGGUGUGUAUCACCAUGACCAGCUUAUGUAUUAAUUUUAUUUAUAAAUGUCAUUUUAUAGUAGGAGUGUGCAUAUAAAAUACAUGUGAAGUCUUAUCAAAGCUGAAUGGAGCCAGGCGCAAUGGCACCUGCCUAUAAUUCCAGCAACUCAGGAGGCUGAGGCAGGAGGAUCACAGAUUCAAGGUCAGACUCAGCAACUUAGCAAUACCUAUCUCAAGAUAAAAAAAAUAAAAAAUAAAAAAGACUGGGUAUGCCGGGCACAGUGGUGCAUGGCCAUAAUUCUAGAGGCUCAGGAACCUGAGACAAGAGGAUUGCAAGUUCAAAGCUGGCCUCGCCAAUUUAGAAAUGCCCCAAGCAACUCAGAUACCCUGUUUCUAAAUAAAAUAUAAAAAGGGGCUGUGAAUGUGGUUCAGUGGUUGAGUGCCUCUGGGUUUAAUCCCCAGUACUGGGGGGUGGGGGGAAUGAAAGAAGAAACUAUAAGAUGAAAAGCAAGGGAAAGGAAGGAAAUAAAAAAUCUUUUCUCUUGGAUUCAGUGUUAAAGGUUUCAUGCUUGCUGAAAUGAUAAUUGUAGAAAUAUAACUACAUAAGUAGUAAAUUUGCAAGUAUGCUUUUAGAAGAUGCCAGUGCAUUUUUGGUUAUUCAUAGAGAAGAAAAGAGAGGAAAUCCCUGACCAGUCCCCAGCUGGUCAAACUAUUCCAGUCCAGAAGCCAGUCAUGUGAAUAAAGAAACUUUCAGAUGGUUCCAGCCUCACUUGUCAUUUUUCUGCAACCGUUUGAAGGACCAAAGGGAAUAAAUUGUCCCCAGCUCUGUCAACCCCAGAAAAAAUGAAAUAACAAUAAAUUAUUGUUUUAAACUCCUAAGCUUUGGUAUAAGUUACAACAAUGAAUAACUGGAAUAUGUAAUAAACAUCUGAAGACCUGUAUGAUAACUUCACAAUUAAUUCAUAAUACUUACUGUAAAAUUCAGCCCUGCUCUAUCAUUCCAGAAAUUUAACUGUUUAUACCCACAUAUGUAUAUACAUAUAUACAAAUGGUGGGGAAGGUAACAAGAAUACCCAAGUGAAGAAACUAUAUUGCAAAACAGUAUCCUUGUGCUCUUCAAGAAGGAAAGGGAGUUAGGAUAGAAUUCAAGCAGAGGGCCAAGGCCUUGUGACUGAAAGUGAUUUUAGAACACUUGUUACAUGUGUAUACAUAUAUACAUAUAUAUACACAUAUGUAUGUAUAUAUUAUCAUAUAUUUAACUGAAUAAUAUCACUAUACUCCACUUAUUUUACUGGGCACAAAAACAAAUUGUUAAAUUUUAUUGACAUUUUAAGGGCUAUAAAUGAUGCGGUAAAAGUAACACACAUACAAAUAUAUGUUUAUAUUAAUAGAAAGAUAUUUACAUAUUUUAAUAGACUUUACAGAAAUUCUAGACUCAUGGAAAAAUUACUGUCAUUUGAAGUAUAAAUGUAUAUUUAUUACCUCCACAGUAUAAAUGCUAAAAAAUUAUGAUUAAGAAAACUUUCAGUUUUGUACAUUAAACAGCUAUUAAAAACUUACAAAUAGAAAAAAAUGGUGAAAUAAAUUGAUAUCAGAUGAAAAUCCAUAAGGUGAAAUAAAAUUACAUCCUACGGAGAAUCAGGAAAGAGUAAAUCAGUUGGCUCAAUGAAGAUUAUCUUUUUUUGAUGGAACAAAUAGUUUCAGUUUUUUGAAUUAUGCAAGGCAGAAUAAGAGAGAUUAGAUUAUGACAUAUUUUUUUGUCUUCAUAACAGUACUUUUGCACUGGCAAUAACUUCAACAGAAUUGUUGUUAUUUAAUUCAAUUUAGGUUAUGAAUGCUUUAAUAAAGAGGUCCAAUUUGGUAAUUAUUCAUAUCUUUUUUUCCCCUUUUUUUUUCUUUUAGGGGUUACUGAGGAUAAAAUUCAGGGCCUGCAUAUGCUCUAGGUAGUGCUCUGUCACUGAGCUAAAUCCCCACCCCAAUUAUUCAUAUCUUGAAAAAUUGUUUUAUAAAGCCAUGUUUUUUCAGUUUUGGGGAUAGAAUAUAGGCUCUCACAUAGAUUAGGCACACAUUAAGCCACUAAGUCACAUCAUCAGUCCUGAAGCAGAAUUCUAACCCCUCAAAAUAUUUCCUCAGGAUGUUAAAAAAAACCUACAAAGUUGUGUAUAAUAUACAUACAUAACUUGUAUAUUUGAGCCAACAUUAAAGCAUGUAUAAAGAAAAGGUGAAAGAAUUAGAAAAGCAUUAAUUACUCAAGACACAUUAUAAAUAAAUACCAUAUUCUUUACUUAUGCUUCUGAGUUUGUGUAUAAAUUGCUUUCCAAUCCUCCAUCUAUCAUCUCUAUAUUUUUAUUUCUGAUCUCUUAGUACUCCUUAUGUAUGUAAGUAUAUAUAUGGAUAGGUAGAUAUUGAUACAUAUUUUUCCCAUGGGGGAUUCUUUAAGGUUUUCAGCAGAGGGGCCAGAUAAUAACAUUAUGAUAGCUUUUUCAACAUUCUUAUUAGUAAGAUGUCAAUCAAUUUUAAAGAAAGUUAUUUCUCUUGGCCUUUGAGUUAUUUAGCAUUCAUAAUAUUAGUCUUAUCUUGGUAAGAAAAUACUAAUCUAAAAGCCAGGAAACAUGAUAUUAUUCUUGGUUCUAUUACUGAUUUUUCAAUCUGACCAAAUACGUAAGUUUUUUUGUUUAAAAAUAAAUUUUAAAAUGACUCAAUUGCUUUAACUCUUUUUUCUCCAAGUAGUAACAUUUUAAAAACUAAGGACAGAGGAUGACUGAUAAAAUUAAAUGUUAAAUUGAUGGAGGUUACUCUUGUACCUAUUCCCUGAUCCAGCAUUUGUUGAGACACACUAGAUACUAGGCAAGUGCCAGGAAUCUGCUGCCUCCAAAGGCUUGCCAUCCAGUGGACAGCACCGCCCCCCCAAUGUCAGAUAAGCUCAGGUUUGCCGCCAAAGAAGUUUUGGCAUCAAUCCUGAAAUAAAUUUGAUUUUCAGAGCUUCUUAGAUUUUGGAAUUGCAGAUAAGGGAGAGUAAAUUUGUAUUAUGGUGUCAUACAUACACAUUUUUGGAUAGAUAUAAGAAAGGAGUGCUGUGUCACUGCAUGAGUGUAACACCCACCCAGCUGGCGGGAAAAGGAGGGCCUACAAUAGGAGUUGCUUCCCUGUGUCAAUGAAAUAAAAAGAUAACACUGUAUUCCUGUUCUAGGUUGCUAUGAGUGGUUUUGAGGAAAACCAUUGCCUGAUGGAGAAAUUUGAGACCACAGUUGAGCCUUUUCACUUUAUUACACUAUAAAUAGUCAGAUAUUUCUUCUUUCAAAGUUAACAAGGAAAACUUUAUUUGGUCUAUGCAAUUCCCUUACUCUUACAACUUGUUAAAAAUUGCACAUAACACAUUAAAUAACAAUGUUUUCAUUUAAACACUCAAGUAUUUCUUGCAUGUCAAUGCUAUAGUUCAAGGCUUUUAAUCCUUUCUUAAACUUUUCAGUUACCCUCUCUGUAGUUUGAGCUAUACUCUACCAUACCCCUCCAUACAGAGUGGUCUUCUCACUCCUUUGCCUGAAAACUUGUAAGAAUUUCUCACUGGAAAAAAAAUUACAUAUAAAAUUAUCUAUCUAUCAAAUACAUAUAUUUUAUGUAUCUAUCUAUCUAAUGCAAAGAAAUCAGAAAUUAAAUGUAGGGCAGUAGUCCAGGAAGGGAUGAGACAGCAAUACACAUAAACUCAGGCAAGAGUGCAAGCAAAGGAAACAUUUUACAAGGACUGCAAAUUUUGGUGGUAAAGAGCAAGAGAGGCACACAGAACAAAUGCCAAAGUUCAGCAGAAGAUGUAUGAAAUAUCAGCCAGGCCAAUCAAGAGCUUAUGCUGAAGAUGCCCCUUGGAACUAAAGUGUACAUUAAGCACGUCUAGAACUAGACUCCCAUUUACAUAGGUCCAGAAUAUUUCAACAUGUUAAAUGUUUGUAACCAGCCACUUCUAAAGUAUUUUUAGUAUUUUUAUUAUUUCUCUUCCAAUCUUACUUGUGUACGUUAUUUGUGCUAGUUUUCAAGGCAAGCAUUAUGAAACAAAUGCAAAUUUGGUAUCUGAUUAAGUUUUUUCAUUAGUCAAUCAAAAAAGUUUUUACUGGAAAUCUAUUUCAUAAGUGACCAGCACAAAACAGAAACAUUGAGGUAUUCAUUAGAAAAUAAAAUCAGGGAAGUUUGAACAAAUAUGGUUUUACUAUACAAUCUUAUCAUUUUCUUGAAUAUAAAUUUUUUAAAUCCUGGAAAACUUAUAAAAUAAUUCAAUAUCAAUACCUUAAAAACAUUUAAAAAGCUUUAAAGCAUUACUUAGUUUCAUAUUGCAAUAUAUUUAGAAAUAUGCACAAAGUACAAAAUGUCAGCUAUUUAUUUUAUCCUAGCUGAGACAAAGUUAGGGCACUGAAUAUUAAAAUUUUUAAAAUGUUCAUUUGAAUUAUAUUAUGACUAUGCAAACUGGAGCAGCUUGGGUAAACAUGAAAAAUGCAAAGUCUGUUUCAUUUCUUACUUUUUAAUCAAACUCUAAGAAAGAGGGCAGGGAUAGAAAAGAUUUGGAAUUUGCCUUUCCUGUUUCCUUCUUACGUACACUUAAAAGAGAGUGGAACCUAAUUCUGCUAGAGUCUGUUGCUUUGUGUCUCUAGAUGUUGAUUUAACUGGAUAUAUAUUUUGGUGACAGUAUUUUUAAAACAUUCACAUUUACAUGUAUGAUUGCACUACUGGUGUGACUCUGCACCAUGUACAGCCAGAGGAAUGAGAAGUUGUGCUCAUUUUGUGUGCAAUGUGUCAAAAUGCAUUCUACUGUCAUGUAUAACUAAUGAGAAUAAAUCUAAAAAUUAAAAAUAAAUUUAAAAAAUAAGUUCAUACAGAAAUAAAUUUUCUUGAGGUAAUAUUUACAUAAGCCAUUGAUUCUAGACAUAUGGCAACUAAAGAGGAAUUAAUUUCCUUCUUUGCAAGGGUACGAUUGCAUUCAGAAAAUAUCCUAUAUUUGAAGAUUAUUACCGCUCAGCAAGGUAAGUUUUGAAAUUAGGAAAAUAAAGCUCAGAGAACUGAAAUGACUUGUCUACAUAACCCUAUCCAGAAGAGGCCGAGUCAAAACUACCAUCUAGAUUCCUAAUUCCUCGCACAGUACUUUUUAUGGUAGCAAAUGCCACUCAAUUAUUUAUUCACUCAAAUGAAUGAAUAAAUAAUGGGUGCCUUCUCAAUGUCAGGCACAGGCACAGGGGCUACAGCAGUGAAUAUAUGAAGUAAUAAUCUCUUAUGGAUUACAUUUCAGCAGGCAAGACAGAAAAAAAACAAAAGAAAUAACAAAAGGUGUUAUAAGUCAGAUGGUAAAAAGUAUUAUGAAGAAAGAUAAAGCAAGCUGGGAAUCAAGGUAUAAAGCAAGGGAAACUGCAUGUUCAGGUAGGUUGGCCAGAAAACACUCAUUGACAAAGUGUCAUCUAACAAAGACUUGAAGGAGAAGAGAAACCAGCCGUGAAGAGUAUUCUAAGAAGGGAAACAAGUGCAAAAGUCCUGGUAGCACCAUGUUUGUAACAUGCUUAUGGAAAACCAAGGAGACAGUGUGGCUUGGGCAGCAGAUCUGGGAAAGAGCUAGGAGGCCAGGCCAGGUUGUCUGGGUUCUACUCUAAGAGAGGUAGGAAGCUACUGAGGAUUUUGAGCAGAAAAAUGGCAGGAUCUCACUUACAUUAUAAUUGAAUCAAGUUGGUUGCUAUUUGAGAGUAGUUUGGAAGUGCAAUGGAGGAAGCAAGAUGUUUCUAAGAAUCAAAAUGAAAUGCAGGGGAGGCUAGGGUGACAGAGCAGAAAGAGCUGAUAAGUGGUUAGAUUCUGGAGAGAUUGUAAAGGUCAAGUCAGCACGAUUUCUUAAUGGUUUGGAUACGGGUGUGAGUAAAGAGGAGGGAUCAAGGAUAACUCAGGCUGUUAGCUGGGCAACUGAACAAUGGAGUUGUCAUGGAUUGAAAUGGAAAAUACUAUAGGAGCAUCACAUUUGUAGGAAGCCCAAGCGGUUCCAUUUUAUACAUGCUGAGUUCAAGAUAGUAUCUGAGUAGACAUCAAGUAGGCAGUUGGACACACAUGCGUCUGGAGUUCUGGGGCAAGGUCUGGAUGAAAAUACAUACUUGAGGGGUCAGAAGCACAUAUGUGAUAGUGAUGAUUCAAGACAGGACAAGAUCACCAGGGAAGUAAUUAUGGAUAGACAGGAGGCAGAGGACUGAGCCCUAAAGCACUCCAGUGUUUAGAGAUAAGGAAAAUUAGAAAGAUCAGACAGUGGAAUGCAAGAUUAACUAUUUCAAAUGUUGCUGAUUGCUCUACUCAGAUGAGGACUGAGAACUGGCCACCACAUUUAACAAUGUGAAUGUCCUUGGUGACCUUGUUAAGUGUGGUAUGGGUGGGAGGUGGGUGGUCUGACAGGAGUGUGUUCAGGAGUAAAUGGUGGGGAGAAGAAUGGCAGAUAGCAAGUAGUCAGUUCUUAUGAAUUUGGUAUGAUAUUUCUAUGUUAUUUUAAGAUAUAAAAAGCUUUAAAAUUAUAAUGGUGAUUUUUUUAUCGAAUACCCCUUACAUUAUAGGUCCUGUACUGUGCACUUUACACAUUAAAAAUUUAUUCAUUCCAAUAAAAUCUAGUUUCCUAAUGAGGAACCUGAUGGUUAAAGAACUUAGUAACUUCCCCAAGGUGCCAUGUCUGGUAAAUAUUGGAGCUGGAAUUUGAAUUCCACUCUGUUUGACUCUUCAACUUCACCCUUAGCCAUUGUGUUACAAGACCUUUAGAAUGUUAAAAUAAAUAGCCACAUAAGAGUGAUUCUUUCCUGAGGUUGAAUUCAAAUUGGCAAAGAGAAUGCAAAAGGCUAACCAAGAUCUCCCUACCUUCUGGUCAAGGUGUUGUUGACAGGGACUGUGGGCAGAACUCAAUAGGAUUGUUUAUCCUUUUAGCUAUCAGUCAACUCACAGCUGGUCACUGCCGGUGAAACCCUUUUCAGUAUAAAACAAUUUGAUGAACCAAUUUUAGGUAAGUUGCUAAAUUCAAAUAACAAAUUGUAUUAGAAAGAAAUUGAGCUCCAUGAGCCUUUAUUAAAAAAGAACUAAGGUCUGUCCAUAAGGCGAGUAAAUCAAAUAUAAGAGAAUAGACUGUUUUCUUCCCUGGUGUGUUGGCAUGACACACUGUCCUGUUCACCCCUCAGGAGAGAAGUCUUGUGUUAACUUGAGCAGGCCCACUGCCUGCCACACUCUUCAUUUAAUUUUGGCCAGUAUUUUAAUUUACCAUCAGAUUCAGCUAUUAAAUUCCCUAACACUGUCGCUGGUACCCAGGGGGUAAGACAAAGGACAUAUCAAACAGAAUUGUGAUGGAACUCCACAUGGCCAUCAGGAUAAACACAUGUGCCUCAUAAAUACUUCUGUUCUGAAAGCCUGAGGUUCAGAAUUCUGUUACAACUUGUUCCAAUACUUAAGGAGAAAAAAAUAUGGAAAUAUUAACUAUCAUUAGUUAUAUCAGUAGUUUCUAUCAUUAGGAACUACGGAUAAAAAUCAUCUAGCUUCAAAUAUGUAUGUAUGUAUAUAUGUAUAUAUUUAUUUAUUCAGUGGUUGAUACCAGGGAUUAACCCAGGGCCUGGAGCUGCUAAGCAAACACUCUGCCACUGAACUAUAUUUCCAGCCCUUUUUAAAUUUUUAUUUUUGGCAACAGGUUCUCACUAAAUUGGCCAGAUUAGCCUCAAACUUACAAUCCUCCUACCUCAGCUUCAUAAGUAGCAGGGAUCAUGAGCCUGUGCCACUAUACCCAACUUAGCUACAUAUUCUUUGUAUGUGGUACAACAGGAAGAAAACCCACUGAAGUUCCAUAUGGGAAUUAUAUAUUAAGACAAGAAAACAAGAAAAGUUAAUGUACUAGUUUUGCAAUCUUACAAAUUAGGUAAUGAAUCUGAAAUUAGUUGGGGAAUUCUAAGAGUUCACAAACCUUAGAUAGUUUUACCAGGUAAGCAAAGUCAAAGAAAUAUCAUAACUAUAUAAUAGAAUCUACUAAGUAUUCUUAUAGUAUCAUGGAAGUAAAGGCUUACAAUAAAAAUAUUUGCAGUUACACAAUGCUGCUCAUUCUUUUCAAAGUUAUACAUGUACAAGGGGAAAAUAUUCCAUUAUAAUAAUAUAAACUACAAACUAUCUCUGACUACUAAGUCCUCAGUUCUUUUCCUCAAAUGUUACCAGUUUCUAGUUUUUUACAUAUCCUUAAGUAUCUGUUCAUUUUAUGAAUUUUAUAUCAUUAUGUCUAUUUAUAUUUAUUAUUCAUACCUUUGAAUAAAAAUAGUUAAUUCUCACCUGGUAGCUUUCCUCUACUCUUUCACAUUUUGUGGAUUUUGGUUUAAAAAUUACACCUCAUUCUGAAAAAUAAAUACCAUUUUUUUUCUCUAAAAAUAUUCAGGGCUAAGGAUAUAGCUCGGUGGUAGAGCACUUGCUUAGCUUGCAUGUGGGUUCAAGCCACACAAAAAGAAAAAAAAAUACAAAUGCAUAUAUUUAAGCAAUUAAUCAAUAUUUUUAUGAUUACAUCUUUAAAAAUUCACUUGCACAACUUACCAAAGCAAUAUGCCUAAAGUUAUUAGAAAUCAGAACUUUAAGCUAAGUAUUUACUUAGCCAAAAUCUUUAAACAUUUACUGUUUGAUGUUCUCCUCAUUGCAUCUAACAGGAAAUCAAAACAGGGUGAGAAACUGGUACUGAUUGAUGUAACUCUGGGCCUAUGAUAGAAGUUAUGUUAGACAAAUCUUUGAUUCUUAAGUCUUUUUUCCUUAAUAUUAUUUCUAAACAUUUUACGAAUCCAGAGAACAUUUCAAUGCAAAAUUGAAAUACAUAAGCUAAGGAAGGAGAAGAAAAAUGAAACCCUCCAUCCUUUGACUAUGAAGUUCAACAAAGGCCCAGAAGUACAUUGUGUGGUAGUUUCUCCAUUUCAUUUCUCCACUUAGUGCCAGGAGGUGUUGUCCUAACUCACCUGGAUGUUCAGACAUAUGCAUCUGGGCAGGAGUUCUGACACACUUCUUUGCCAGAUAAAGAAUAUUUGGAUGACUCAGGAUCUUCUGGCUAAUGGAUUUUGAAAACACUCUCUCUCUCUCUCUCUCUCUCUCUCUCUCUCUCUCUCUCUCUCAAUCAAUAGCCAAAUAGAUUUUGAAGUCUUUGAAAAUGAUAAAAUUUAAUCUGUUACAGAGGGGGUUAGAGAAAGGGAAUCCUGAAAAACAAGGAUUGUCAAGUUUACAUUGUCAACUUUAUAACAGUAUGAGAAAAGGCAUAAUGAAGCUAUUAGGAUUGGUUAAAAUAACAGGUUAAGUAUAGCUGAGGCACUUCAGGAAAAUGUGUGCAGAGCCCUCUGACAUAGGACUUCCUCUUACUCCAGUGUCCCACCAUCCCACCCUCUUCCUAAACCAAGUGUCUGCUGACCUCAUUUGUUUCUUAAGUGACUGUUUUCUUUAAAGGUUCUCAUUCAAAACAUUUUACUGUUAGCUACAUGAUAAAAACCCAACCAUCAAUGUACACGGAUAUAUAUAUAUAUAUAUAUAUAUAUAUAUAUAUAUAUAUAUACACACACAAUUAAUUCAACAAAAAAAUUUUUCUCAAAAUAUACACGUAGGUUGCUUGGGGCCAGGCAGACAAAACAAUAGACUAAUUAAAUUUUUCCCUUUUCACCUGAUUAUUUCUGGUCAUGGAAAGGCAUAAGCAAAACUUGGCUGGCCACCAAUCAUUCAUUUUCUACAGCUACACUUGAAUUCUACAGAGUGUUCUAAAGGAAUUCAAAUUGACAUUAAAAAUAAUACUAUUUUUGGUAACACUUUACUAGAGAAAAGGAUUUCGGCGAUUCUGUAAAACUGGAGAAAAGGAGCAACCGAAAAUGGAACGAAAUGGAGCCUGUCAGACCCAUAGGAUAUAUGAUUUUAAAAAAUGUGAAUUCAAACAAAUAUGAGAUAAGGAUGUGAAGCUUCUUAGGAUAAAUGAAAGAGGGGGAAUAUUGACUUCUUUAUGUUUAUAUAGAUCAAGUAUCUUAUACAUGCUACAGAACUAAAUAACUGGUUGGAUUCUGCUUUGCUUAGAACCAAAGAGGUGUACAGUGGUUGGGGAAAGCUUGUCAGCACUGUUUCCUUUCUUCCGUGUCGUACAGCUCAUUGCCUUUCACUUCCUAACAAGAAAGAAAGCCCCGGACUUAUGAGGGUUCUUUCCCCCUCGCCUUAUUCCUGGACCCAGUUUAAGCUUUAAUCCUUAUCCCUUCACUGACUACAGCAUUUCCAUUCAUUUCAAAGCAUUGUAUUGAUGUGGAUGAGAACAGAACCAAUCAUAAAAGAGAGAUUAGUUAUGCUGAGAAAUACUCAUUGUAAGUGCUGAAAGAAUACUAAACCAACAGCCAGCAUGUAUUGAAGUUGUUUACUGUUGCUACAGAAAAUUGCAAGAAGCAAAGGACUGGAGAAGGGAAUAGAGCGUAUCCUCCUUUCAGGAUGGAGAAAAAAAAUUCAUAUGUAAAAUAAAGGACCCUCCAAAGGAAAUAAAGUUUAAAAUUACAAAUACAUAAGCUUUGAACCCCCCCCCAAACCCAAGCAAAUAAAAAGAACUUCCUAAACCCUAAUUAAAAAAUAAUGUAAAACCCCAGUGUGCCAAUGACAGCAUUCUAUUCCUCUAAAAGAAAGAUCAUAAGCUAUGUACCAUGCCUGUGAUAGCAAUGACAAUUAUCCCAAGGAUCCAACUUCUUUAAAGGGCAAAAAAUAAAUAAAUAAAUAAAAAAAAAUCUUAAAAUAAUUACAUCAGCAUAUGGACUCUGGAAACUUCUUGUACCGUAAUAAGGUCAGAUGGGCAUUUCCUGCUUCACAUUUCUAGUACACGUUGUCUUUUAGACAAUAAUAAUAUGAAACAAUAGUUUGGCACAAGUCCAACGAACACUAAGAAAUGCCUUGGCCCUUGAAGGCUGAGAUGAGUCAGCCUUAAAUGGCAAAGAUUUCAAUGACGACAAGAAAGGCAGAGACGGUGUCAGGGGAUCUGUGGCCCAAAGAAUGCGAUUCAGGAAGAAGACACAUCCCUGAGUCAAUCCUUCAUCAGUCUUCAAUUUCUUGACCACUAAAAGGCUGUGGUGUUUAACAUUUACAUUUACACAGCCAGCAUUUAUGCUUUGUUUCUGAUUAACCUGGCUAUUCUGUCUAUUUGUUUUUGGGUUUUGUUGUUGUUUGUUUGCAAAGCAAAAUUGCAACCUGGCCUGACCACUGCUUCCACUAUCCAACCUCCUUCCCCAGCCUAAACAGUAUGGAUGAGAAUAAGGGUCUCAUUGAGUUUUGCAACCCACUGGGAAUCCCUAGCUUAUCCACUGACCUCAUGACUACUUUGGACACUAAAAGGCAGAUCCACCCAGUACUGGGUCCCUCAAAAACUGUUCCAUCUUCCAUCCUCUCCCAUAUUGGGACCUCCAGCACAUGCUGGCAUCAAAACUGUGUCUGUGUGAAAAUGUUUGUGCCAGUCAUUCCCAAUAACCUCUCUCAUCCCUAAUCUCCUGCCACUCAGGGAAGGUACAAAGAAAGAACAUUCUGAAAUGCAGAAGAUGAAGGCAGAAGAUGAAGAUAGGAGGUUAACAAUGGAACAAGAAUUUCAGAGAGUAUGAGGGAAAGUUAGGAGGGACAAAAUUGAGGAUGAGAAGUUGCAAAGCAGAAGGAAUGACAUGGGAGGAGAGCAGCCUUUCAUCCUGUGCCAGAGAAUUCCAGGGAGGAAAGAAGGGAAAGUCUCCCUUGCCCAACACUUCUUUUUCACUCUUCACAAAGAGAUCGCGGAGUGUCGUCAUUUUUAAACUAAUAAAGUCUUGUUCACUUAAAAUUAUAUAAAUAAUAACACAUGAUUUUUAAAAUUCCAAAUAACAUAAAAAGAGAAAAUUUAAGUGCAUCUACACUCCAUAAAUAAGCAGUGUUUUAAUGCUUUAUUGAAAGCCUUCUAAAUAUUUCUAUAUAAACACAUGAACAUUAUUGUGCAUACACACAGAAAAUUUCACAUAAGGUGGGCAUGUAUCUAUAAGAAGUUUGGUAACCUGUUCUCAUUUAAUAAUAGGCCACUGGUAUCUAUACCGGUAAAUACAGACUUACACAACCAUUUUUUAAAAUAUCUUUUUAGUUGUGGAUGGACACAAUACCUUUAUUUAAUUAAUUUAUUUAUUUUGAUGUAGUGCUGAGGAUCAAACCCCGUACCUCAUACUUGCAAGGCCGGGGCUCUGCCACUGAGCCACAAUCCCAGCCCAAUCAUUUUUAAUGACUGAAUAGUAUUCAAUUGAGGGGAUAUAUUAUAAUUUAUUUAACAUAUCACCCACUGAGGAAAAUUAUUCUAUUCUAUUUUGAUUAUGUUUAAUAACACUGAGAUGAAUACUUUGAUUAUGUGAUCUGCACUAUUAUGUGAUCUUCUUUACAAAUCAGAUAAUAGAAAACAGUUCUGUGCUUUUAUUUCUAGUUUUAUUUUUUGGUGAAGUUUUAACAUUUUAUAGGCCAUUUAUAUUCUUUGAAUAACUGUGUUCAUUUUUCCAUUAGAAUGCUUUUUCUUAUUGGUUCAUGGGAACUCUUUGUGUAUUAGAGGUACCAAAAUGACUAUCUUUCAUAUAAUUCAUGUCUCACAAAUGUUUUUCCAGUUUGUUCCUUGCUUUUCAAAGUUAAUGUUAUGAUAUUUUUGUUGGAUAAAAACCUUUUAAUUUUAAUAUAGUUAACUUUAUCAAUAAUUUAUUUUUGUUUUAGCCCUACUGACAAUCUCCUAAAAUUCCUGCUAUCACUAACAAAUUAGGUCAUUUAUCACCUUUUACCCAGAUUACUAUGAGUCUGGAUUCAUCUCCAUGGUAACCUUCAGUCUUUGCCUCCUGACAUCCAUAUUCCAUGCAGCUGUCAGAAUAUUCUGUUUACAAUGAAAGUCUGGACAGGUCAUUCUUCUGCAUGAUUAUCCCAAGUUGGAUAGUAAUAGAACUAAGACUAUAUGAUGUGGCUUUUCAUAUAAAGUAAAAUGAAACUAAAAUUAAAACAUAGCAAAUAUUCCUGGAGCAUUAUUCAUAAAGAUUUUUGAGGAAAUAAAGCAUAUUAUUAUUACUACUACUACUACUACUACUACUACUACUACUACUACUAUUACCAUCACCAGAGAUUGAACCCAGGGGUACUUAUUCACUAAGACACAAAACCAGCCCUUUUGUAAGAUUGUUUUUAUUUUAUUUUGAGACAGAGUCUUACUAAGUUGCUUAGGGCCUUGCUAAGUUGCUGAGGCUGGCUUUGAACUCUUGAUCCUCCUGCCUCAGCCUCCAAGCUGCUGGGAUUACAAGUGGGUGUCACCAUGCCUGGCACAUUAUUUUUAUUUUAAGAAAAGUGCAAACAUAUUAUGAAGCAAGAUAAAAAUUCAGAUGACUUUAAAAUCAAACUAGAAAAUGUCAAAGUAAUAUCUGUAUUUAGGCAGAAAUAUUCAAAAGGCAGUAGAUAUGGAGGAUUGAGAUUAAUUCUUUAACAUGGAACAUGGGGCUUUCCCAGGUGUGACCUCUCGUCAGCUCUACAGCUUUGCCUUUCAUCUCUCUCGAGCUUGAGUUUCAGCUCCAGCAAACAGAACUACAUUUUUAUGUAUAAUUGACCCUCCACAUGAGUGUGCUUCACAUCCAUGGAUAUGGAUUUAACCAACCAUGGAUUUAAAAUAUUCAUGAAAAAAUUGCACCUAUGUUGAACAAAUAUAGACAUUUUCAUCACUAUCCCUUAAUCAAUACAGUGUACAACUAUUUGCAUAAUAUUUUCAUUGUAUUAGGCAUUAUACAUGAUCUAGAGAUGAUUUAAGGUGUAUGGGAGCAUGUGCAUGUUAUAUGCCAAUACUGUGCCAUUUUAUGUAAGGGAUGGAGCCUAUGCAGAUUUCAGUAUUCUCAGAAAUCUUGGAAACAAUCCCACAGAUACUAAGUGACAACUGUAGCUACGUGUUUAUGUGUCAAUCUCUCCCAUUAGCUAAGGAGCUCCUUGAUGGAAAAAUUAUCUUAAUUAUCAUUGUAACACUUACUUCCUGGAACAUAAUAGAUUUCAUAAAUAUCUAUCUGUUGAAUGCAAAAAUAUUAAGACAAAUGAGAGGUAAAUCUUUCAACAGUGGCUAUUUUGUGCCCAGAACUAAAAAUAUCAGAACUAUACAUCACAAAAAAAGAUUUCAUAUCUGUAGACAUACAUUCAUAUAAAGAUUUAAGAAAAAUAAGCCUCAUGUUCUAAAAUAUAAAUGCAGAAAUAGUCUCUUUGCCUUCAAUGUUCCUUAAUCUUGGCUUCCUUCCCACCCCAUUUACAAGCACACAGACACACAUUUGUUCACUUCCUGGGGGAAUAUUAGACUUAAUUAACAAUAGUAGAAUAAGUUUGAAAGAAAAUAAAGAAUUAAGAUUUUGAGUUCAGAUCUUAAUGCCGGCCAAUAAUCCCUACAUGAGGUGCUUUGUCUCAGCAGUGGGAUUUACCUCUGCUUCCCAAGAUGAUUAAGAGUUGAUGUGUAAUUGACAAUGAUGUACACUGGAGCAUGUUAUCAACUCAAGAAAAGGGCUUUGCCUGCAUGAUUUUCAUUAGCAUUAAUGAUAGUUAAGCUGCACAGACAGAGCAUAAUGUCCUUUUUGCUAUAAGAAAAGGAGGGCCUUUUAUCACCUAGAUUAUGAAAUAUUGAUUAAUUCAUGUAUGCUCAGACAUCCAUCUAAAAAUUAAAUCACUCAAUCUGUCACUUCUUCUCAUAUCUCCACAUUGAAAAACAUAAUAGCAAUUGUGAGAAGAACAAAGGGAAGGAUGAGGGUUGGAAAUGAGGAAGGAGGGUAAGAACAGAGAAAGAAAAAGGCUGCAAAGGAAACAUGUCAAACUAUGGCUACAGACAAACACAACACCCACACACAAUCUCUCUCUCUCUCUCUCUCUCUCUCUCUUUCACACACACACACACACACACACAUACUACUUCACUAAUUAAUGCAGCUUUGCUUUCAUGCCAGAUAUUAGGGAAACAUCAAUUAGAGAGAAAUCUUGUAAAUCCAUUUCCCAGUUCAUUAAUUAUGCAUCAAUGCCAAGUUUUUGUUGGCCUGUCAUAAGACAAUCCUGUUCCAAUAAAGACCCAAUGAUGCACAUGACUCAACAGUUACCGGGCUUUCCUGACUCUUGGAGAUGGUACUUGGGGUCUACUCAAUUCUUCUGUGAUGUGUAUUUGUGUUCUCUGCUAAGUAUUCUGUGAUUAUGAAAUGUCCUUUAAGCUGACUACAUUGUUUCUUAGCUAAUACUUCAUCCAUCUCUGUCACAGGCACAGUGGGAAUUCUGUUCAGCUAGAAUAAAAAAUAGCAGCAGAAUGUACUUAAUGCCACUGAAUUGUACACUUAGAGGUGGUUAAAAUGGUAAAUUUCAUGUGAUUACAUUCAUCACAAUGAAAAAAAAAGAAAAAACAUUUUUAAAAUCAAAGAAACUUAUCUGUAGACCCGAAAAAGUUAAAUUAUAUGAGGACUAAAAAGUGAAAAAUAGUUUAGAAGUUCUCAAACUAUCUCAAGAGAUAAUUUGUAGAUAGAAUGUAUGUUCUUUUGUGCAGAAAAAAAUAUAAGGUGGUGGAUUUCAGAGCCAGAGAUCAUGCUAUUUGCCUAAGGAUUCAGGGAAAAGCAAGGGUGUUUGGUCCCAUCAACAAAUAUUAAUUAAGCAUCCAGAUGAUUUCUAGCACUGUCCUAGUUAAUUUGGAGAUACCAAUAUUUAAUUAUAGCUAACCUCCUACCAUAUUAUUCACUAUGUUUUAGAUUGAUUGAUUUAUCACUGGCUUAAUGUUCUAGCCCCUCUGGACCCAAGUACAAAGAAAGUUAGUUAGAAGAUUUGCCAGAAUUUCAGUAGCAAGUAUAUAAAAGCUAUGAUCUGCUUCCCCUAGUGCAUAGGGUCACUUUUUCUCCACUGGAUAAAUCUCACUUUUGUAGAUACUUGACACUGUUAAAAGUUCCUCAUGCCUGAUACUUACUAUAGUGUCACACCCCUGGUGACUAUGUGGUAAAUCUCAACUGACUCAGUAAACUUUCCUCAGCCCUUGUAUCAAGACAGUCAUGUAUUGGGACUGCAAAUUGGUGCAAUCACUCUGGAAAGCAGUAUAAGGAUUCCUCAGAAAACCUGGAUCCACCAUUUGACUCAGCUAUCUCACUCCUAGGUUUAUAUACAAAAGACUUAAAAUCAGCAUACUACAGUGACGUGGCUACAUCAAUUUAUAGCAGCUCAAAUCACAAGAACUUAGCUAUGGAACCAACCUAGAUGCCCUUCAACAGACAAAUGGAUAUAGAAAAUGUGGUAUAUAUACACAAUGAAAUAUUAUUCAGCCAUAAAAAGAAUGACUUAAUGAAUUUUGUUGAUAAAUGGAUGGAACUGGAGACUAUCAUGCUAAGUGAAAUAAGCCAAUCCCCCCCAAAGCCAAAGGCCAAACAUUCUCUCUGAUAUGUGGAUGCUAACACACAAUAAGUAGGGGAGGGAAGAAAAAUAAAAUAAAAUUGGUCUCAUGAAGUCAGUUCCUAAGAGAGUGGGUUGGUAUAAAGUGAGGAUACCCCAUGUUCUUGGCCUCUCUUGCAUGUUGCUGAUUCCCUUUCUACUUUUCUACCACCUUGUUGCAACAUAGCCAGGAGUUCCUGUUUGUGAGAAAUAGUCUGGUGGUCCAUUUUUAGAAUAUAGUAUUCAGCCUUAAUUAAAUCCAAUUGUAGCCAUUUUCAAUUGUAACCCUUUCCUUUUGCUUGCCCUAAUUCUAAAAAUAGCCAGUCAUAUAGAUUGGACGCCUGAAUACUCCAGUCAGGGCAGAGGGCAAUGCUGAGUUAAAUAUACAUACUGGACUGCCUGUGCAGGUGUGCUUACUAGUCAGGUUCCAGUAACAAGCCUCCCUGGCAGAAGUAAAGGUUCACCUUGUCCACCCAAAACAAAUAACAAACAAAUAGGAUAGAAGCACUGGUCUCCCUUUUUAUGCCCAGAAACAUUUCAUCAAGGUUCUUGAUGAUAAAACUUGUCUGUAAAGCAAACAAAACAAACAAAAAAAGACAGUCAUAUUUAAAUGUUUCCAAAUAUUACCUUCAAAGUGCAAACUGAUUGUUCCUGAGCUUGCCAAGGAACUUUUUACUCUUUUUUACAAAGCUGAAAUUACUUUAACUGUGAUUGUGUUACAUUGAUUUGAAGCAAAAUUCUGGUCAAUCAAAAUGAAACUUGAAAUAAAGGGAAAAUAUGAAAAUAUAACAGUAAAGACCACCACAUAUUUUAAUUGAUAUUUUAUUUAAAUUAAAAUAGACCAUCAAUACCCCAAAUAGAACUGUAGGCUGCUUGUUGAAUCCCUUUUGUUCCCUUAAGCUUCCUUAGUUAAUUUGUGUGUGUGCGUGUGUGUGUGUGUGCACACGCACGUGCGCGUGCUAGGGACCAACUCAGGGUCUUGUACAUGCAAGGCAAGCCCUCUAACACCGAACUACACCCCUGUACCCCCUAAAGUCCUAAUUCUAACUACAUUUAUUUGUAAACAGCCUGAAUUACUUAGAUGAUAUUCUGCAUUGUAGUCCAGAUGUGCUCAUAUUGUCCAAUGCCCCUUCUCCAGUGAGGUAUGCCUGGUAUCAGUCUAGUCUAUAGGAAACAAAGGAAGAAGACAGACAUUUCUCUUGCACAACACUGUGCCAUGUGUGGACAGAGGGGAAAAGUACCAAAGGUUAUCUAAAAGAGACACUGCUGAGUGAAGUACCUGUCACGUCCAAAUGCUUCUCAAAACAAUGAAGCCUAUGGGUAAUUACUGAGAUCCUUGUCAGAGAACAAAAUCAGCAGAGGGUCCUAAAGGGUGGGCUGUAUUUUUUGCACAUUUAUCUUAGCAUCACUUUUGUGAGCAGAACCAAUUGGGAAAGACUAUGUUCAAAUACCCUCAACACGGAGCAACUCAUGUUUACACAAACAUUUUGAAGUUUGACAUAUAGCAUUUCAACAGAGCCUUGAGUCAACAUUGUCAGGUACAUGGUAAUACACUUAAUGGAAGAGGUUAGGGAGGAAGAAUGUGACACUACCAUGGAAAGAGCACUGUCAUUUGACCUCCACUCAUCUGGAUACUUAGAAGAAGCUGUAGCUCCAUCUUGGCCCAGGAUGGCCUCUCCAGUUGGAGGAACAUCUGAGGAUGCACUGCCUUCUCCCCACCUAUAGCCUGGUGAGCAAGAGAAGCAGCAGUGGAAGAAACUGCACUCAGGCUGAGGGGAGGAUGGGACCUGGGAGAUCUCAGUGAAUCUUUUGAGAUCUCAAUUUCUCCUGAAGAGGUCCUAGAAGAAAGGCAGUGGGAUGCAGUGGCCAGGUACAAUACCCCAUUAAGUUCUCUACUGGCACAUAUUCAGAUUAUUUUUUGAUGAAAGAUUAUUGAGUGAUUUUGGGUAUAUGACUCAGAAGCAAUUUGAAGCCUUUAAGUAAAUUUUCAUUAAAAACAAAACAGCCCCUUUUUCAGUACCACUUACUUAUAUAUAUUAGCAAGGCUUCUCAGGACAUGCAUCUAUGGAAAAAAAAAAAACAACUAGGGAUUCUGAAGGUAUCUCAUUGCAGCAAUAAGCAAUGACUAUUCAUGAAUAGAUACACAAAAUAAUCAUUUAAAAGGGAAAAAAUGCAAGCGGACUUUUUUUUCAAAGCCCAAUUCACCUUAUAUUUAUUUCAUUAAUAGAUACCUUUCUAGUAAAAUUCCACUUACUUCAAAGUUCAAUAUCAUUGUCAUUUUGAUCAAUACGGUACUAAUAAUAACUGUAAUGGUGACUCGUCCUAGAAAAAGUCUGGGUAUUAUGGUUACAAGAAAUUCUUAAAAUUUGGAUUUAGAGCUUAUAUAAAUACAUUCGUUGAAGUGAAACAUGGUAGAGUCAUCAAGUUGUUCAAGCAUAAUAUUUUACAAUAAAAUUCCAUGUGAAGUGAAAUCUAAACAUGGCUUUAAGGGAAAAUAUUUGUAAAUAUCUAUUAAAAAGCACUUAGGGAUUCAAUUGUUUAAAAUUAAAUUUGUUUUUUACUUUUAAAUAAAUGAUGGGGGCAUUAAAUUGCUAUAGUACUUAGUCUACAUUAGUUAUUAUUUAAAAAGUGAUGUAAUUGAUUUAUUUUUAAGUAGAAUAUUAUGACAUGAGGAAAAACAGAUGUAAGUUCCCCAUUUGAACUUACAAUAAAAAUUUUGUGACAAUGUACAAAGGGGGACACACAAAAUUUUUCAAAAUUCUACUACAUUGUAUAUAAGCAGGCAAGUUUAAAGACCACUAUGCUACAUAAACACAUUACUAGUUCUAAUGUUUGUAUAAGGAAUGCAGAUAUUUAUAAAACUAUCUUUAAAAUCUACUGAAGAAAACAGAAGACAAUAACUUAAGAGUAUCAAAUUAUGGCAGUUUGUCACUACAGCAAAUAAAGCCAUCUGUAAUAUUUAGGUCUCAGUCAACAUCUCUAUAGUUGUCAGAUUCUCUAGUACAUCUUAAAUCUACUGGCCAGAUCAUUAUACGUAUCAGGCAAGAGAUUAGAACAUGAGACACUGGUGUAAAAAAAAAAAAAAAAAAACCUCAUGAUUUUGUGUAAUUUGUUGUAAUAACCCACAGUUUAAUUUCCUUGUCUACUAAAGGAACACACAUACACAUGACCACAGGAUCCUUGACCCCUAAUAGAACUUACCUGGUCAAUUAUAUUACAGUUUUCCAAGAGUUGUUUUUGGUUUUCUUUUUUGAGUACCAAGGAUUGAAUUCAGGGACACUUGACCACUGAGCCACAUCCCUAAUCUUAUUUUGUAUUUUAUUUAGAGACAGGUCUCACUGAGUUGCUUAGCACCUAACCUUUGCUGAAGCUGGCUUUGAACUUGAGAUCCUCCUGUCUCAGCCUCCCGAGUUGCUGAGAGUACAGGCCUGCGCCACCACGCCUGGCCAGGAGUUGUCUUAAUGUCUAAUUAGGAAGUUACUUACUCUGAUGGAAUUGCAUACCCCCAAAUUUUAAAAAGACAUUAUGACUUUGUAUACAGGAACAACACAACAUCAAACGGGAAAUGACAAUCUGCAUGUUCCAAUUUAUCUUGGUGCAAAUUGAUAACAAACCAUCAGAGUUAAAAUGAAAUUGAAAUGUAAUGAAAAAUCAAUGGUAAAUGGUAUUAAAAACAACUUUGCUGGAGCUGUUAGAACAUGGAGUACUGUUACAGAAGUGUGUGGAAAAAGUUUUACAAUCUAAACACAUUAUAAUUCCCUAGUGUAAAACACUCUUAAGUUAAAUUAUGGGAAAAGUCAAUGUCCUAUCAGCCCCAAACAAUCGCCCUGCAUCGGAAUGAAAAGAAGGAAAUGUUGUUCUGAAUAGCUUGCCAAGGCUAAAGAAAAGCAGAACUGUUGCUGAAGACAAACUGGUUGUAAUAGACUAAGAGCAUGCAUUCUAAUUUGUAUUUGCCACAAUUUGUGAUUGACAAUGGGUGUCUCAGAUAGUUUUUAGUAAUCCACUUUUAGGUUUGCUUUAACAACUUGACUACUUUCAUAUUUGUCAUAGACUAGGGGCCCAAUGCAAGAAUUUUUAAGCAUAAUUAUUUGACUUUUUAAAAAAAUUUUUGAUGCUGGGGAUCGAACUUAGGGCUACACACAUGCAAAGCACAUAUUCUACCACUGACUUAUGGCCCAGGUCUUUGACCAUUCAGUAUUAAGCAGUCAUUCCCAACUUUUAUAAGUAUAAUAUGUGAGCUUAUUAUAAGGUAAGACUUCAUGAAACACAAAGUUAAAGAGAAGACUAUAAUAAAUCAUGUAUCCAUCAUCCAGCUUUAAUACUUACCAGGUCACAACCCAUCCUAUUUCUCUGUACCCCACCUACUCAUUCCAUUCCACAUUAUUUUGAAGCAAAUCUAUGAUAGAAGAUGACUUACUUGUGUUCUUAAUAUAAAAUAUUUAAGGUACCUCCUCUAUCAAAAUACAGUGGUGGGACUGGGGUUGUGGCUCAGCAGUAGAGUGCCUCCCUAGCAUAUAUGAGGCACUGGGUUCAAUCCUCAGCACCACAUUAAAUAAAUAAAUAAAUAAAUAAAUAAAUAAAUAAAUAAAUAAAUGUAUUGUGUCCAUCUACAACUAAAAAAUUACAGUGGUGGCAUUUUCAAUAAUAUUCAAUAAGAAAAUCCACAUUAUCAGAUGGAUUAUUGUCCUUUCUACUCCCCUUUUCUAUGUCUCUGCCACAAUCCCUAACCCAGGGGGCUUCAGCCCUUGGUGGGAAACCACUGGCUGACACCACUCAGAAAUAUGCCUAUUUACUAGCAUUUUAGAUAUACUCACAACACAAGUACAUUUCUGCUUCUGCUGCUUCAUUUCCUAAGAAUCUGUUAUUAUAAGUUUAUUAAGCAGAUUAGGAAAGAUGGACUAACGUUCUCAACAGGAAUUUUUUUCUCUUUAGCCACCAAACUGAGAAUUUCUCUGCUAGAAUCGAAUAAAGAACUCACACAAGCUGCAGCUUUCUAGAAGUUAUUACUCCCUAACAGCUGUUUAGAGGACUCUGUGACAUUGACAUUGCCUAUAAAAAAAAAUCCAGAUUCUUGAAGACUGGAAACAUCUUAGCACAAUAUAAUGUGUGAGCUGGCAUGCUUCUUGGCAGUCCCCUCAGAGUUUAAGAAACAAGUGAGCAAAGACUGAAUUCACACACUUGGAAAGGAUAAUUCUGCACCAGAGGCAUAAGCCUGAGAACCCUCUGCCUUGGUACAUCCUAUGAAUUUCCUAUUAAACCAGGACCUCUCUGAGGUAUAAGAUUCACUUUUGUAGAAAGAAAGAAAAAGAAAAUGCUUCUCUUUUCCCUGUAUAUGAGAGAUGAUUCCUUCAUAAGAGAAUGGAAGAAAAAAAUUUCCCUGAUUUCUGCUCAGUGCAUAUAGGUAGCACACUGAUUAAUGCUGAUGGAAUUCAUACAUUUAAAUAAGAAUGCCACUCACUCUCAGGAUUACAAAUGUCAUUUGGAAAAUUUAUGACUGGAACUUAUUCAUAUGUGUUUAAUCCAGGUCAAUUUUAAAACUUUAAACCUUUUAUGUUAAACGGAUAGAAUUAUCUCCAUUAAAUUUUAUGUGACAUUGCUUCUAGCUGUAUAAAAAAGAAAUAAUCAUAGUGGUGUUAUGUUUGCAAUUUAUUAGCGAAAAAGCAAUCAUCUCUAAAUUAAAUCUUUUUUUCUAAUAUCAUGGAAUAUCUUCUUUGGUAAUUAUGAAUUUCUGCAAAAGUGUUAUCAUUUGGAGAUUCCAAUUUUGGCUUUAUUUUUCUAAACAUGUCCAUUAUAGAGCUGAGCAAACAACAUAUCUAAGAUAAUGAAAUUUUCCUUACAUAGUACAAUGUUUUCCUAAACCAUAGUUCAAACAUGAAAUAAGACAAUCUAGUUUUCCACCAGGGAAAUUAUUAUCUGCUUCAUAUGUACCAUAUUAAUUAGAUUAGGCCCAAAUCCUAGUAGUUUGCAUAAUUGUAUUUAAUUUGCCAGAAGGGGUCAAAUUGUAGCAUUGGUUCUCUACUAAGAGGUAAAGCUGUUUAGUCAGCAAAAGUAUAUUGGAGUAUAAAGAAACUGAGAAGCAUUUGUAAAUUCAGAAUAAUGAAGUGUAGAGUUCUCUUAAGAGGCACACAUUUUUACAUUUGAAUAGUAAAGACCUAAAGACAUACCUGAUUAAAUAUUUAUAAUCAUGGGAUAUGGUAAAGCUUACUUAGAAGUUAUUUAUUUCAUCCCCUUCCAGUUUAGUGUCAUUUUCUGAAAUGCAUUUUCUGGUCAUUUAAAUAACUUGUCAUUAAAACAAAAUAUUCAGACACUAAAUCUUUGUCCAUUACUUCUUUCUUAUUAUAAUUUCUUCUCCUGAGGUUAAAGUGUUUUCUCCAUAUUUAAUAAAUUGUUUCACUCCUCAUCUGCAUUUCUCAGAAAUAAGGUAAUCUAUUAAAAAACUUGGCGUAUUUUUUUUAAAAGUCAACUGUGGAAGAACUUUUGGCAUUCAUUUAUAAUGGAGCAAAGAUGAUCAUCAAAAUUAUGGAAAGAAUUAAAAAUUUGUUGUACAGGAAUCUCAAGAUGUUUUGGUAUAACAAAGUUUUUCCAGAUUUCAUUGGAUGCUACUUGACACUUAGGCCAAAAGUACCCCCAAAAGACUUUGUGGUGUUUGGGAUUCAGUGACUCUGAACUAUUUGAAGCCACCUAGGUAUUUCAUCAGUCACCCUAAGAGUCAUGCUAUUUAUAAAGAUCUAGGUCUUCCCUGGAAUUCUGGAUUUUAAGAAGUUUGGCCCAGUUCUGGGUUAGUUCUUGGCCAGCUCAACUCCAUUUUGAAGCAGUGAUCUCCAAACAUAUAUUAUCACAAGAAUUACCCAGGAUACCUUUAAUAAAAUAUGGUUUUCCAGAGAACCAACCUGUAUUUGUUGACUUGAAACCUCAGAGUUGGAGCUGGGAUGGGAGUGUCGAUGCAGAAGCAAAAACAGGUUCUUUUGAGAUUUAAUUCGCACAUCAUAUGAUCCAGCCAUUUAAAAUGUUCCAUUCAGUGGUUUUUAGUAUAUUCACAGGUAUAUUUAACCAUCAGCAUUGACAAGUUUAGAACAUUUUUAUCACUUCAAAAGAAAUCUUAUAUUCUUUAGCUGUUACUCCAUUUCCCCCCAUCUCCCAGUGCUAAGCAAGUACUUCUCUGUAUUAUAGGUUUGUAUGAAUGGAAUCAUACCUUAUGUAUUGUGUUUGGUUUUCAGAUGCUUUUUAGCUGACUUCUUUCCAUUAGCACUUUCCAUUUCAAGGUCUAUCCAAAUUGUAGUAUAUUAGUACUUCAUUCCUUUUCCUGGUUAAAUAACAUUCUGUUGUAUGGAUAUACCACAUUUUGUUUAUCUUUUCUCCACUGAAGGACAUCUGUGUCCUCAGAGAAUUAUGCAGUGGUCUCUAAAAGCCAGGAAAGACCCUCAGCCUAUAGCCAAGAAAGAAUAAAGGGAGGGAGGGGGAAAAUAAGGUGGGGAGGGGGAGGGACAGAGGGGGAGAGAAGGAGGAAGGGGAAGGUGAAGGGUGAGGGGAAGGAGGGCGAGGGGGAAGGGGGAGGAGAGAGAAGGGGGAAAGGGAUGGAGGGAGAGAAGGAGGGAAGUGGGAGAAGAGAAGAGAAGAGAAGAGAGAAGAGAAGGGAGGGAGAAAGAAGGAGGAGGGGGGAAAGAGGGAGGAAGAACAGCAAUCCUUCAACCACAUAGAACUAAGUUCUGUCUACACUUUACUGAGCAGAGAGGUGAUUUUUUUUCCUAGAGCCUACAGAAAGGAAGGUAGCCCUCUAGACAUGUUGGUUUUAGCCUGGUGAGACCAUACUGGAGUUAUGGCCUGCAGAAAUAUAAGAUGAAAUAUCACUAAAUUGUGAUAAUUUUUUAUAUCAAAAAUAGAAAAGCUAACUUUUCCUGUUACUAAAUUUUAUAAUAAAAAUGAUUCUCAAAGGACUAUGGAAAGACACAAAAAUGCAGUUUAACACUAGUUGUUUUAAAUUAAAUAUUAAUGUCUCAUUGCUACCAUGUGACUCUUAUUCAUUUCAAUUAGCAUGUGGGACUGUGAGGAGCUUUUAACACAUCUAAAAUAGUUUCCUCUUGUUUCAUGAAAGACAUUCAUAGAAAGUAGUCAUGUGUUCUUCCCCUGACUGGUUGACUAAAUUUAACAAAAGUUGGUCAAACGUAUCUAAAUGUUUGAGAAAAAGGAUGUAACUAAAGAGAUACUUGAAGAUGUGGAUUUUUAUGGUAUCAAAUAAUCAUAACACAAUCUUCAUCAACAACACAAAGUUGUUGACCUCAUUCCAGAUGGUGAUAUUGCUAGGAACAUCAAACCUAUACAGGAACACUGAACAAAACCAAGGAAAUGAAACAUUUCAGUGUAUAUAUAUAUAUAUAUAUAUAUAUAUAUAUAUAUAUAUAUAUAUAUAUAAAUUUAUUUUAAAAUCAAUGUGUGAGCAUUUCAUUGGAUUGCAAUUUUUUUUCAAUUUUACUCCAUUCUGAAUGGAAAUUUUUUUUUAUUGGCUGUUCAAAACAUUACAAAGCUCUUGACAUAUCAUAUUUCAUACAUUUGAUUCAAGUGGGUUUUGAACUCCCAAUUUUACCCCAAAUACAGAUUGCAGAAUCACGUCGGUUACACAUCUAUAUUUUUACAUAAUGCCCUAUUAGUAACUGUUGUAUUCUGCUACCUUUCCUAUCCUCUACUAUCUCCCCUCCCCUCCCCUCCCAUCUUCUCUCUCUACCCCAUCUACUGUAAUUCAUUUCUCUCCUUGUUUAUUUUCCCAUUCCCCUCACAACCUCUUAUAUGUAAUUUUGUAUAACAAUGAGGAUCUCCCUCCAUUACCAUGCAAUUUCCCUUUUCUCUUCUCUUUUCUCUUCAAAUUUUUCACUUCAAUUUUUUCCAGUCCAUUGAUCUUUCUCACUAGUAUCUCACACACCUAUGUGGCUACAUCUUAUAAAAUGAAUUCUAUAAUCCUACUUAUACUUGGUAAAAUGUAACAAGUAGACUUUAACUAUUGAGUAGGUUUAGAAAUGUUCCAUAAAAGAUUUUCUUGCAGUAAUAUUAGUUACAAUGAAAUUUGACUAUAACACUUAGUUAAUGUCAUAAUACCGAACUGAUAACAAUCUUCUUGUUUGAAACGAUUGACAUUCCAUACAGAAUUCUGUCUAUUUUUAAUAGAUAUGCAAUCAUGGGUUAGAUCUCUGCUUAAGCUUAUUAUGCUACCAUAGUUUCUGUUAUAAAUUGUCUAUGCAUGGCUCCACAGGACUGCUGUGCCUAGUUCCCCCACCCCACCUCCCGGCUUGUUCUCAGAUGAAGGCAAAUACUGCAGAAGCAUGAAUAAAUUGUAUAACUGGGUAAGGUCAUCUCCCUGCCUCCAGACUGCUCUGUCCCUUUCCAAGGACCCAGGACUUUCUUGCCCUCUAACUCUCCAUCAAAACAGGAAAGAGCUUGAUAUCAUCAUUUAUUCCUAAAACUGAUUCAGAUAUUUGUAUUUUUAAGCUUCUUAUCUCUAAAAUUGUGGAAUGAAAGAAUUUAUCUAUGAAGUGUUUUUGUUUUGUUUUGUUGGUCAAACAGUUAUUGGAAGGGAAAUGCUGGGUUAGUGCUAACCCUAAACACAAAACUAUUUAGCUGUGUGUUGAGGGAGAGAAUGUUGUGGUAAGAGAAUUUUGUAUGGAGACAACUGAUCAUAAAAAACACCAAGCCAUGGGCUUUCUUCUCUUAGGCUUAAGGCCUUUCAUUCUUUGGCUCAGGACUCACAAAUUUUGGGAUCCUGAAGUCUAUUCUCUUAAUCCUUUCCCAUUGUUGCACUUUACAUGAAAUUAUUCAGAGACUGUUAAUUAAGAGCAUUGGCUUUAUAGUAGGACUUGAAUCCUGGCUCUUCCAAUAGUAGGCUGUGUGACUUUGAGUAAGUUAUUUAAUUCUUCUGUGCUUCAGUUUCUCAUACACAAAAUUAGGAAAAUCAUGAUACAUGAAAAUCUCCUAGGACAAUGGCACUUAGCAAGUUAGUUUAUAAAUAUUAACCAUUCUUGGUAUUAUUCACCAAUGGUCCAACUAAAUGAAAUUACUCUUCUCUUCCUUUUUGGGAUUCCCAAAGUACUUUUAAUGACUCUAUUAAAUAGCCUGAUGAGAAUAAGCCUAAGUUCUAUUCAUAUUUAUCUUAGCCUGAAUUCCCUAGGAAAAAAAAAAUGAGUCUGAGGACUAGAUUAAGUGAUUAAGCUUUGGUGUGAAGGUGUAAUGUUCAGGCUUGAGAAUGAAGGGAAGGAAGGUGAGUCAGGAAAGGAUGAGCAAUUUGACAAAAUGGCCAUGCUCACCCCUGCUUCAUAAUAAGGAGAGACUAAGNACUUAAAUUUAUAAUAAUGAUAAUUUAUAACCAAUGUUUAUUACAUAAACUAAUCAUUUCUUUAAAUUAUGGCAUUUACUUUUUUCCAACAACUCUCUUAGACAGAUACUUUUAUUAUUUCUAUUUUACAGAUGAGGAAAUCAAGAGUCAGGAAGGCACCCAUCAGCAUACAUUCCAUGAAUAAAGGGACUUGGACCUAAUCCCAGACUCUUCUAUCUGAAGAGCAUUUGCUUUUGACCACUGUUGAAAGCAAUAAAUAAGACUUUCAAAAAACUUUAGCAAAGUUCCAGUCAUAUCAUAAGUACUCAAUGAAUUUUGAUUAUUAUUAUCAUCAGUAAUGGUACUGUAACAGAAGUAGUACCAUCGACUGCAGCAGCAGUGGUACAAAAUCUUCACCUGCAGGUGCAUGAAACUUGGGGUCAGAUAAGACCUGUGGCCUAUCUUGGUUCACAGGAGAGGACCAGUGAAGUGGGAACUGUAUUAGGGUCCAGGGGCUGGGAUUCAGGUGUGAUGGGAGAAGUCCAGGUUCAGGGCCCUAAAACUCACAAGUGUACCUAGCAUGGUGUGCUGCAAUAAGUAAUUGUUUAACAGAUGCUUUAGAAUUAACUUGCUGCUUCAUUUCCUUAAGGCUUCCCUACAACCCAUCCCAGCACAUAGCUGCUAGGUAAAUUUCUAAACACCAAGGCAAAUUCAUCCCACCCAGUGUAGCUACAUUUUUCCACCCAUAUCCAUAUGUUGCCCAUAUCCACCUAACACUUCAGCAGCCUCCUGAGCUGUGCUCAAAAUUGUAGCACUAUUAAAGAGAAAUGUGUGAUAUGCUAUUUCUGGCAUCCUGAUUCUAUGUGGCUACAGUAAGUGGUCUUGUGGUAUUCGUGGAUCUGAAAUUUUUGAUUUAAACAAGAAGGAAAAUUUAAAAAGAGUGCCCACCCCCGCCCCCAAAGCAGCUCAAUUUAAAAGGAAAAAGCUCUCAUUUCAACUAUGCUGCAGUUAUACAUGAAAAUAAACACAUAUUAAAAGGAACAGGUCAUCUCUUUCAUUGCUAACUUUCACUGUAAAUUUGAAUUCUAUUUCCUGGGGCUCAAAGAAAAUAAUGCUUUGAUUCACAAUUGAGAGAGAGAGAGAGAGAGAGAGAGAGGGGAAAAGAACAUUACUGCCACCUCUCGCUCACUUCCCUAGAACUGAGAAAAUGUCGAGGAAACCUGGCACUAGCUUGCCAAAGGCUAACACAGUCUGACUUUUGUUUUUACUUCCAUGACCUUAAAUGGCUCUCAGUGCAGUCAGACCAACUUUGCAUGUAUAUUGACACUAUGGAAACCACACAGAUAAGCAGUUUUUAGUUGGCCUGCUGUAUUUACUUUGGCACUUAACAAUGAUCACAUAAUUUCCCCCAUACAGCUUGCAAAGGCUUUGUUCUAAUCUAGAGUUGCUUUUCUCUUUUAUUGAGCUUUUGGAAAGCUUUGUAAGUUCUCUGCAAUGUAUGUAUUUUAUUUUAUUUUUGCCUAGAUAUAGUUCUGGUUUGCUAUUAAGUGCACUGCAUUAAUAUUUCCUUUAACAGAAGUAGAAAGGGAUUUUUCAAAUUGGGAAACUCACCUUCUACUUCUGAGCAUCUGAAGAGAUGCAGAUAGAAAAGGAAGGAGGAAUCUUUGCAGUCACUGGAUGGACAGACAGCACAGUAUCUGUUCUUGUCUAUUGACAUUUUCUAUUUCUUUUCAUUCCAGGGUUUUAAAGUGCCUUUCAAAAUCUCUGUCUUUUAGAAUAAGUCCAUGGCAUCCUCUGGCAAGAGACUACUUAUAUUAUUUAGGACAGCAAAUUCUUUUUGGAAUUCUAAAUAUAUCCUAAUUUUUUAUUGUAUUUAUAUAUAUAUAUAUAUAUUUAAGUGUGUAAUUUUAAGUGUAUAAUUCAGUCUCAAGUACAUUCAUUCGCAUUAUUGUACAAAUAUUAUCACUAUACUCUCCAGAGCUUUUUCAUCAAAUUGAAUUGAAAUUCUAGCCAAUAAGCAAUAACUUACCUAUUAUCCCCUUUCUGUAUCUCCUAACAAUAGGGGGGCUGGGGAUAUAGCUCAGUUAGUGAAGUGCUUACCUUGUGUGUACAAGGUCCUGGGUUCAUUGCCCGUACCACAAGAAAAAAGAAAUAAUAGCCCUCUCCUGACAAUAUCAUUCUACUUUCUGUUUCUAUGAAUUUGACUCAUAUAAGUAGAAUCAAAUAGUAUUAGUCCUUUUAUAUCUGGCUUAUUUUACUUAGCACAAUGUUGUCAAGAUUCAUCUGUGUUGUAGCAUGUGUCAGAAUUUCAUUUCUUUUUAAUGUUGAAAAUUUUUGCAUUGUAUAUACACAUAUAACACAUUUUGUUGAUCCAUUCAGCCACUAUGGACAUAUGGGUUUUUCCCCCAUCUUUGGGCUACUGUGAAUAAUGCUACUAUCAACACUGGCCUACAAAUACCUGUUCUGGUCCUUGCUUUAAAUUCUUUGGGGUAUAUACCCUGAAGUGGGAUUUCUGGAUCAUAUAAAAACUGUGUUUAAUUUUUUGAGAAACUUCCAUACUCCAUAUUCCAUAGUAGCAGCAUCAUUUUAUAUUUACUCUAGCACUGUAUAAAGGUUUCAAUUUCUCCAGGCCCUUACCAACAAUUAUUAUUUUAUUUUCUUAAUAUCCACUCUAAUGGGUAUGAAGUAGUAUCUCAUUGCUAUAUUCUUAUUUUUAAUAAAAUUAAGUUUCUAUCCUAAACAUCCAGACAUUCUUUUUUAUUAAAUUAUUUAUUUAUUCUAAUUUGUUAUACACAAUGGCAGAAUGCAAUACAUUUCAUAUUAUACAUAUAGAACACAAUUUUUCAAAUCGCUGGUUGUACACAAAGUAUUUUUACACCACUUGUGUCUUUAUACAUAUACUUAGGGUAAUGAUGUCUAACUCGUUCCACCAUCAUUCCUAUCUCUUUGCCCCAUCCCUUUCUCUCCCUCCCCUUUGCUGUAUCUAAAGUUCCUCCAUUCCUCCCAUGCUCCCCGACAUCGCCAUUUUGAGUGAGCAUCCUCAUAUCAAAGAAAAUAUUCAGUCUUUGGUUUUUUGAGAUUGGCUUACUUCACUUAGUAUUAUAUUCUCCAACUCCAUCCGUUUACCAGCAAAUGCCAUGAUUUUAUUCUUUUUUAGUACUGAGUAAUGUUCCAUUGUGUAUAUAUACCAAAGUUUCCCUAUCCAUUUAUCUACUGAAGAGCAUCUGGGUUGGUUCCACAAUUUAGCUAUUGUGAAUUGUGCUGCUACAGACAUUGAUAUGAUGGUGUCCCUGUAGUGUGUUGAUAUUCUUUUAAAAGAUUUGGAACUCUUCACUAACAACUUUUUGGUAAACAAACAAUGUUUUAUAGGAUUCUUAACAUGGUUCCAUGUUACUCAAGCCAUUAGCUAAAUAGCUAAAGAAACACAUAGAAUAGAUGAAUAAGGGAAAUAGUCUUAAAGAGACACUUUAGUAAUUACACAGGACUUCAUGUCCAAUUAGAUUAUGUACAUAGAAGAGAGAAGAGUUUUUUACACAUUCUUGCUUUGGCAGUUGAUAGUGGCAGUGCCAUUUAUCAAGACAUGAGAAGAAGAAGUGAGGAGGUGACUCUGAGGAAAGAGCAUUAUGAUAAGUUCUGGUGCACAUCCCAGGUGACGAUGCUCAGUACACAACUGAGUGCAGAAAAUGGGAGAAAGCUAGAAUUGAGAAAUUUUGUAGUCAUGAGCCUCUGAUGAUGCCAUUGACCCUGAGUCUUCACCUGUUUGUUGACUGAGAAGGGUCUCCAGAAGGCAGACCAAUGGAUGCACCAGUAGCUGAGAGUGGACAGAGGCAAAGCAAGAAGAAAUGAUUAUCGAGUUAGAAGAUAUGGUUCCAUAGAAGUCUGGAUAAGAAUGAUUUUAAAGGCCAACUUUGUCAAAACAGCAGACAGACUGGAAAAAUAAAUAAUGAAAAUUGUAUACAGAUUUUGGCACCUACAUGGUUGCAGGUAACAGUCAUACAGCACUUUUGGUAGAGAGGUAGAAUCAGGAGCCUGUAGAAGUCUAUUAAGAAAGCAGGGGAAGUAGCUGCAUGUGGUGACACAUGCCUGUAAUACCAGUUCCUUGGGAGGAUGAGGCAGGAGGAUCACAAGUUCAAAGUCAGCCUCAGCAACUUAGGGAAGCUGUAAGCAACUUAGCAAGGCCCUGUCUCUAAAAAUAUAGAAAAAGUGUUGGGGAUGUGGCUUAGUGGUUAAGCAGCCCCUGGGCUCAAUCCCUCAUUAAAAAAAAAAAAAACUGUGGGGAGAAAGCAAAUAGAGCACAGUCUUUAGAGAAGUUUACCAAUGAGUAGAAAGAGAAAUUUAGGGCAUUAGUUUGAAUAAUGCAUUUUUGUUUGUUUUUAAGUGAGCUUAUUUAUAGGCAAAAAGGAAGGAGUUAAAGGAGAAGAGAGAAAUGGCUGGUGGAUCCAGGGCUUGCAGGAGGAGGGAGGUAAUGGAAUUCAGAGCACAGGUGGCAGGAUCAGCCUUGGCAUGAAGUAGGAGGGUGAAACCUCUACCUGUGGAACAGGGAAAGGAGGCAAGGUUGCAGCAGGCAGACAUCUUUGUAGAAGUGGAGGGAAGGGCAGGAAGUUCAGAGCAUCCGUGCUUGAUGGACCCUUCAUUGAAUAGGAGGUAAAGACAUCUACUAAGAAAGGGUGACAUUUUAGAAAAUCAGUGUGGUAGAAUAGCACAGGAUAUGCUGAAUGACAUAAGAGCCAAAUAUAGAAAGAAACUAACAACAGUGUAGGCAGUAAGUUAUAUGGCACUUACGUGGAGGAUUAACAGUGGAGUUUGAAAAAAACAUGGAGUUGGAAAAGAGAUGAACUUCAUGCCUUUUUUUUCCAUAUUCUCCUGAAAGUGAAAAACAUUAUUUUCCUCCUGAUGACCAAUUGUCACAUCACAUGAAUAUUUAAAAAUAUAUAGAACUAAAACAAUGUGUAAUUGGAGAAACAAGAUUCUCUAAAGACAAGUUGUUAGAUAGAAAAGAGAUGAAGACACGUAUUUACUUGCCCAACUUAUUUAAGUCUUUGGACCACCUAUCUUAAUUCCUUAUACACACACACACACACACACAUUUUUAUGUGUGUACAAAUACACAGAGUAGAACAACUGAUUUGGGAGGAAGUGGAGGAAAGGCAAAAGGAGCUUAACAAAAACCCUAUGUAAGCAGGAAUAUAUAUCAUAAUUAUGAAAAAUUCACUUUUUAAAUUCUAAUUAGUUCUAUGUGACAGUAGAAUACAUUUUGACACACCAUACAUAAAUGAAGUAUAACUUCUCAUUCGUCUGGUUGUACAUGAUGUAGAUUUACAUAGGUCAUGUAAUCAUGUAUGUACCUAGGAUAAUAAAGUUCAAUCCAUUCUACUAUCAUUCCAACUCCCAUGAUACCUCCCCUCACUUUACUCCUCUCUGUCAAGUCCAAAAUACCUCUAUUCUUCCCCACUCCUUAUUGUGAAUUAGCAUCUGCAUGUUAGAGAAAACUUCCAGCUUUUAGUUCUUUGGAAUUGGCUUAUUUCCCUUAGCAUAAUAUUCUCCAGUUCCAUCCAUUUACUGGCAAAUGCCAUAAUUUCAUUCUUCUUUAUUGGCUGAGUAAUAUUCCAUUGUGUGUAUAUAUACCUCAGUUUCUUUAUUCAUUCAUCUGUUGAAGGGCACCUAGUUUGGUUCCAUAGUUUAGCUAUUGUGAAUUGAGCUGCCUUAAGCAUGGAUGUGGCUAUGUCACUACGUAUGCUGAUUUUAUAAGUCCUUUGGGUACAAACCAAGGAGUGGGAUAGCUGGGUCAAAUGAUGGUUCCAUUACAAGUUUUCUGAGGGAUUACCACACUGCUUCCCAUAGUGGUUGAACCAAUUUGCUGUGCCACCAGCAAUGUAUGAGUGUACUUUUCCUUCACAUCCUCACCAAAAUUUGUUGUUGCUUAUAUUCUUGAUUAUUGUCAUUCUGACUGAAGUGAGAUGGAAUCUCAGUGUAGAUUGGAUUUUAAUUUCUCUAAUUGCUAGAGAUGUUGAACAUGUUUUUAAAUGUAUUUGUUGAUGGAUUGUAUUUCUUUUUUUCUUUUUUUUUGGAUUAUAUUUUUUCUUCUGUGAAGUGUCUGUUCAGUUCCUUAGCCCACUUAUCAAUUGGGUUAUUUGGGGAGUUGAGUGUGUGUGUGUGUGUGUGUGUGUGUGCAUUUUUUGAAUUCUUUAUAUAGCCUGGAGAUUAAUGCUGUAUCUGAGAUAUGUGUGGUAAAGAUUUUUUUCCCAUUCUGUAGGCUCUCACUUCACAUUAUUGUUUCCUUUGCUGCAAAGAAGCUUUUUUAGUUUGAUUCCAUCCCAUUUGUUGAUUCUUGAUUUUACUUCUUGGGCUUUAGGGAUCUUGUUGAGGAAGUCAGUUCCUAAGCCAACAGUGGAGAUUUGGGCCUGCUUUUUCUUCUAUAAGGUACAGGGUCUUGGUUCUAGUGCCUCAGUCUUUGAUCCACUUUGAGUUGAUUUUUUUCAGCGUGAGAGAUAGGGGUGAAAUUUCAAUCUACUACAUAUAGAUUUCCAGUUUCCCCAGCACCAUUUGUGGAAGAGGCUAUCUUUUCUCCAAUGUACAUUUGUGGUCCCUUUAUCUAUAUGAGAUAACUGUAUUUAUGUGGGUUUGGUUCUGUGUCUCUAUUCUGUACCAUUGGUCUAUAUCUGUUUUGGUGCCAAUUCCAUGCCAUUUUUAUUACUGUGUCUCUGUAGUAUAAUUUGUCUGGUACUGUGAUGUGUCCUGCUUCUUUUUUUUUUUUUACUAAGGAUUGCUUUGGCUAUUCUGAGUCUCUUAUUUUUCCAAAUGAAUUUCAUGAUUGCUUUUUAUAUUUCUAUGAAGAAUGUCAUUAGGAUUUUAAUAGGAGUUGCAUUAAAUCUGUAUAGUGCUUUAGUAGUAUGGCCUUUUUAACAACAUUGAUUCUGCUUAUCCAAGAGCAUGGGAGAGCUUUCCAUCUUCUAAGGUCUUCUUCAUGUUCUUUCUUUAGUGUUCUGUAGUUUUCAUUGUAGAGGUCUUUUGUUGAAUUGAUUCUCCAAUUUUUUUUUGAAGCUAUUGUGAAUGGGGUAGUUUCCCUAAUUUCUCAAGAAGUUCACUUUUUGGUGGGGAUAAAAUAUGUAUAACAAAAACUUAUCAUUUUAAAUAUUUUAAGAAUAUAAUUAAGUGGUAUUAAAUACUGUGUGUUUGUUUUAUUGUGUGAUAUCGCCACUAUCUUCCACUAGAAUUUUUUCACCAUCCCAAAUGUAAACUCCGUACCAACUAAACAAUAACUUCCAAUUACCCACCUUACCCCCAAUCUCUGAUAGCCACCAUUCCAGUUUCUCUUUCUGUGCUUACUAUUCUAGAUACUUUAGUUUUAUGAGUAAAAUUGUGCAGUAUUUAUCCUUUCAUGUCUGGCUGAAUUUACUCAGUAUAAUGUCUUCUUUGUAGCUGGCAAGAAACCAGAUACAUUCUUUUUUUUAAUGUUUAUUUUUUAGUUUUAGGUGGACAUAAUAUAUUUACUUUAUUUUUAUGUGGUGCUGCGGAUCGAACCCAGUGCCUCACACAUGCCAGGUGAGCACACUACCACUUGAGCCACAUCCCGAGCCCCCCCCCCCUUUUUUCAUUAGAGCUCUAUGGUUAUACAUAGUAGUUGGGUUUAUCAUGACAUACUGAUAUAUGCAUAGAAGAAGUUGAUUUCAGUUCAUGAAAUCAACUUUUCCCUCCCAUCAUUACCACCCUCCAGAUAUGUUAUUUUAAUUAAAGAACAUUUAUACUAAAAAGACACUGAAACUUUUUCUGAAACUUUUCAUAAAUACAGAACAAUACAUUUUGUCAUUCAUGCAUUCAACAAAUAUUUAUUGAGCCUAUAUUAAGAGAGGCUUUCUUCUCAUAAGCAAGUUCCUUCUCAUGGGCAAAAGAUAAUAAAGGAAUCACCCCCAAUGUUCUUGUUAGACUAUGAUUAUUCUUCAGUCAACAUGAUCCAGAUGAUAUGUCCCAGGCUACUGAUGUCAGUAGGUUUUGACUCCCAAGAUCUUUCUUUUCUGGAAAUGGCAUAUGUGUCAACUGAGAGAACAAUGGGCAAGAAUAAAAAAAAUAAAUUUAAAUUUAAAAAAAAGCUAACUAGUUUCCAUCAUAACUCCAUAUAUGGAGGUAAAAUGUGUAGUAAUUCCUGGGUAAUGUUCCUAUGUUCUCAUGUGUCAAGAAAUAGUUAGAAUCAAGUAAUAGCUAAAUAGUUAUCUCCUAUAAAUAAAGUAGUUACCAUAGUAUUUUCUCUCUCUCUCUCUCUCUCUCUCUCUCUCUCUCUCUCUCUCUCUUUAUAUAAACAUGUAUAUGUAACAUACACAUUUUUAAAAAACUGGAUGUACAUUUGCUCAUUUAUUCAUUUUAAGUAUCCACUGUGAGGAAGUCGUUGUGUUAAGCAUUAGGGAUUAUUAAACAUUGUCACUGGAAAAUUAUUCCAGGCCCUUUGGGGAAGGAAUAGAGCAGAAAACAGACUGUGCUUACUUCAGUCAGAAAAACCAACCUGGCUUUCUGGUCGUCCUCCCUUAAUAUUGCCUAUAGCUGCAAUGUUAGGCUUAUCUGGUUGAGCACUGAUCUCUAGGUGAGAUAGGAAUGCUCAAAGCAGAGAGCCAGUGUUAGGAAUUCUUUAGAAUAAGCUUUCUGAUAAGUGGACAUAUAGGACAGAUUCCUAGAUAGGAAGGGCUCACAGGUAAAUGCAUUAGAGCUUUAAAUAAACAGGAGUUGUUGUUAUUGUGAUGGCACCAAGCAUAAUGCUCUCUGGGGGGUCAGAACCACUGCUGCAUUGCUACUUUGGUCAGGAUUAAGCCAAGGAGGGAAGCAGGGCUGAGUCUGCAAACUCAAAGCUCUCAGUUCUACAUCUGAGCAAGAUAACUGUACAGAAGACUUGUGUAUGAACUAUCAAUGUCAGAGAGUUCUCUCUGACCUGAAAGAGUAAAGAGAUUUGUCAGAGAUGACAGUUUUCUUUUUUUUUUAAAUUUGUUCUAAUUCAUUAUACAUGACUGCAGAAUGCAUUUCAAUUCAUUGUACACAAAUGAAGCACAACUUUUCAUUUCUCUGGUUGUACACGAUGUAGAGUCACAUCAUAUGUGAAAUCAUACAUGUACCCAGGGUAAUGAUAUCCAUCUCAUUCCCCCAUCUUUCCUGUCCCCAUACCCCUUCCCUUCUCCACCCUCUCCUUUGUCCAAAAUUCCUCCAGUCUUCCCACAUCCUCCCACCCAUUACGGACCAGCACCCACUUAACAGAGAGAACUUUCGGCCUUUGUUUUUUGGGGAUUGGCUUACUUUGCUUAGCAUGAUGUUCUCCAACUCCAUCCAUUUUUCUGCAAAUGCCAUAAUUUUAUUCUCUUAAUGGUGAGUAAUAUUCCAUUGUAUAUAUAUACCACAUUAUCCAUGCAUUUAUUGAAAGGCAUCUAGGUUGGUUCCACAGUUUAACUAUUGUUAAUUGAGCUGCUAUGAACAUUGAUGUGGCUGCACAACCAUAGUAUGCUGAUUUUAGGUCCUUUGGGUAUAUAUUGAGGAAUGGGAUAGCUGGGUCAAAUGAUGGUUUUAUUCUAAAUUUUCUAAGGAAUCUCAAUACUACUUCCCAUAGUGGCUGCACCAUUUUGCAGUGCCACCAGCCAUGUAUAAGUGUGCCUUUUCCUCACAUCCUCGCCAACACUAAUUGUUGUUUGUAUUCUUGAUAACUGCCAUUCUGACUGGCGAGAGAUGAAAUCUUAGAAUAGUUUUGAUUUGCAUUUCUCUAAUUGCUAGAGAAGUUGAACAUUUCAUAUAUUUGUUGAUCGAUUGUAUAUCUUUUUCUGAGAAGUGUCUGUUCAGUUCCUUAGCCCAUUUAUUAAUUGGAUCAUUUAUUUUUUUGGUGCUAAGCUUUUUCAGUUCUUUAUAUAUCCUGGAAAUUAGUGUUCUAUCUGAUGUGCAUGUAUUAAAGAUGUUCUCCCACUCUGUGGGCUCUCUCAGAGAUGACAUUUUAAUCAGAUCUUAAAGGAUAAAUUCAGAGUUUUAUAGAUGGAAGUGAGAAAAGAAGAAUGUUCAUCCAAAAAAAGUAUUAAGUUCUAAAUAAGACAAUAUCAAGGUAUACAAAGAUAACAUACAUUAUGGAUCUAGUGGGGAGAAAUAGAUAUUGAAUUCAUCAGAAUAAAUUAAAAUUCAUGCCAUAAUGUAAGUAUGUUAUGUAAGUUAGCAAUACAAAAGUAAAAGUCGCGCAUUCUUCUAGGAGCAGCAAGGGGAAAGUUCAUAGAGAAAUGGGAUUUAAGUUGGGGCUUGACGGAUGUGGAGGAGUUCACCAAGCAGAUUGUAAGGGCAUUCCAAGGUAAUGGUAGCCUGUGAUAGAGCACCAAACCUCAAAAAUGCAUUUCAGAGAGUUGCACACAAUCUUCACUAUUGAAGCCCACAGUGAGGAGGAGGGCCAACCUCAGUAUUACACACCUGUAACUCCAGCAACUCAGGAGGGUGGGACAGCAGGAUUGCAAGUUCAAGGCCAGCCUUGGCAAUUUUGUAAGACCCUCUGUAGCCUCCUGGGUUAAAUCACCAGUACUACACACACACACACACACACACACACACGCACACAUACACAUACACACACACACAAACACACAAACACACAGAGCAAAGGAGAUAGAACUGAAAUUGGAUAGGGCCAAAGGACCUCCAUAUGUUGAGAUAACACUAAGUAGUCUGCUGUGGCUGGAAUAUAGGGUGCAUGGAAAAAUGGUUGCUGCUGAGGUCGUACAGAUAACAUAGAAUAGAUUAAGCUGUGUAUUAUACGGAUUCAUGGUUUUUAACUUUUCAAUAUCCUCCUUAAAAGAAUGUAAUUCUACAGACUCACUCCCCAGAAAUUUAGUGAGGGUCUCAAAUAUUCAUACAUUGAUCUCCCGGGGUUCUUAUGUCUCAGGUAAGAAUACUUGCUUUACAGAAGUACUUUGAAACUUUUAAAGUAGUGGCCUAAAUUUAAGAAAACAGGUAAUGUUUGAAUGGUAUGCUGAGGUUACCAGAAGAAGCUGUUUGAGGUUAGAAGCAAUGAACUAGGGUUCUGGCUACUUCCUCUCACCCAGAUGCCUCAAAAAUCUAUAGUAAUUACACAUCUUGUCACACCUAUAACCCAUUCUGAUAAGCAAUGAACCAGCAAAGGUUUCUAAGUAGAAGAAUGAGUUGAUCAGUGCUGCGUUUAAAAGGCUAAGUCAAGCCUCAAUAUAAAGCAUGGACAGAAGGCAGUCAGGUCAUAGCAGUUUUCUAGAAAACCACAGGAAAGCAGCCCUAAAGGUCUGCCAUAUGACCUUAGUAGUGAGAAUAGAAAAGAGGGGACUAGAGAGUUUAAGACAGGCUCAAAAGACCCAGUGCCAGUGAUAGCUUCAGAAUUUCAAUAUAGAAGUAAUUGAAGAGUAUUAAUUGGGUUAGAAAAAGACGUAAGGAACUGGGGGUGGGCAUCAAAUACAUUUAUGUAGCUUGCUUACUAUAUGUGUAUACUAUGGAUAUCUCUUAUUGGUGUAUGCAAAAUAACUGACCAAAUGAUACCUGAACUCCACAAUGUUUUAAAAACUCAAAUGCAAGCAUGAUAAAAGUUAGUUAAGCAAGCUUAGUAGAGUGGUGCAUAUCUAUAACCCCAGUGACUGGAGGUUGAGGCAGGAGGAUUUCAGGUUUGAGGCUAGCCUCUGUAAUUUAGCAAGACUGUAUCUGAAAAAUUAAAAAAAAAAAUUAAAGGGCUGAGGAUCUAGUUCAGUGGUAGAGCACCCCUGGAUUUAAUCCCCAGCAGAAUAAAUAAAUUUAAAUAGUCUUAUAAUUUAGAUGCUACAGAUUUUAAUCCAAUGGCAUAUUACUUGAUAAGUAAUAGUAUUGUUUAAAAUGUCGUCACAAAUUUAGUAAAAGGUCCAAAAAACAGGUUUCCAUUUUAGGUAUUCGAUGUCCUGUAUAUUUGUAUAAACACAGGCUUGUGUGCACAUGGGCUUUUUUUCCUCCUUUCAUCAUCACACUUCAGCUUUAUCUGAUCAAAAGGGUGUGGUUCAUGAUCCACAAUAACCACUAAGCCGCCUGAGAAGGAGCAGCAUAGUGUGUGAAAGUCUUUUAAGUAUGCAGUAGUGAGUAUAAAUCAAGUUGAUUACAUCGAUGCUUUUGUUCUUGCUGUUGUGAACAUUAAUAUUCUAAUUAAAAACAUGGCCACUGAGUUCUUAUCCUGCUCUAUAUUUUCCUUUUCAACAUAGAAGGAGCAUAGACACAAUUUCACUCUUUCCCUGAUAAAACUAUUGAGGAGAUUUCCCUACCUCUUUCCUCUUUUAUUCUCUAAAUUGUGAGUUUUAUUCUCUAAAACUGAGUUUUAGAGAUCUUUUUUCCUUCAUAAAUGAUACAUUGGUACUUUGAAUGCUAAACAGAUUUUUUCCUUCUAUUAGAAUCAAAACAGGGUCAGAUUUCCUUGAACUUUGGCAGUUGAGAACUCAAGAGAGCCUCAAAGGAGCAGACUGCAGCUUAGGAAGGGAAGGCUGACCACAGUGGUCUGUGACCUACUGCUCCGCUGUUAUCUGUACCAAGCAGCUGCUACACGUUUUGUGCCCAAUUCAUUUGAAGCCUACGGAAAACACAUUGAAGUCAGAUGCAUGGGAAGGCAAAGCUGAACAUGUCAACAAAGAGAAUGAGCUUGAUCUAUGGCAUACCUCACAAGGAGUGAAAAAAAAAAAAGCAGGAAAAUAGAGUGGUUUCGAGAGAUUCCCAUCCCGCUUUACAGCAGGAAGGAAGCCUAACCCUCAAAGACAGAGGAAAGCAGCACCAGAUGGAUUCUCCCGCACAAAGUGCCCCAUGCACAGAGAGAAAAGUGAAUUUGCAUAGAUACACAGUGCACGCAGCAUUUCCUGCUCCUGUAAAAGCUGUUGUGAAGAUGUGCUGCUGUACCAGGCUAAUUGUAGCUGCCCUUCAUGGAGUUCAAGAGCCAGAGAAGAGAGGGCUCCCCAAACAGAAGUAGCAGGGUAUUGUGUUUCCCCAGCCAAGGCAGAUGUGCGAAACACCUGGCAUCACGUUCCCCAACAGCCUGAGUGCUGGCACAAAGGGGCUCUGAAAAUUUUAUGGCCUUUAAAAUCUAGUACUGACUUUUAUCCCCCACCCCUGGAUUUUUCCAAAUUUGUCCAUAUUGUGUCAUAGUUGGAAAAAAAUUAGUAAAUACAGCCAAACUUUUAGGACUAAAAUAAUUUUAUCUGGGUCUCAGGAUAGGAUUAAUUUCCAUCAGAAAAAAUAUACAUUCCCAUAUAGAUUCUAUUAGAAGCAGUGGGAUAUUAGACCUACAUUUAUAAACAGGGAAUAUAUAAUAAGGAAUGGUACGAGCCGUCAAUCAUAACCAAAUCAUAACUCCACUGCAUUGAGAACUCAAGCUUAUUCCCCACCCUACUCCCAUUUUCUGGUCAUAGUUAUAGUAUAACCUUAAAGCAGACCAGACAUCAAAACCAGUAAUAUAAAUAAACAUCUCAAUUUUGGAAUAUGAUUUAUUUUCCUUUAGUUGUGCAUCCUUAAAUUCCUUAUAGUAGAGCUUUAUGCAUUAAAAUAUUAAGGAUAAUAUUAGGAACAUAAUUUUUAUUAUAAAAAUAAAAAUCUAGACAUACAGUAUGUGGUAUGUGCAAUUCAAGUAGUACCUUUUCCAUGAUUAAUCAAGAAUUAUCUAUUCCACAUUUCACUUGGAAAAUCAGGAUUCUUAUAAGUAUUUUCAUAUGACAAGUAUGACAGUUAACCUUAAUUAAAAUUAUCUGUUGUGUAACUUCAUACUAUGCAAUUGUGAAAAAAGUUGGGGAAAAGAUAAGCAAGAGGGAAUCUGAAAUAUUAAUGUAGACUGGAAUAACUUAUAGUUAAAAUCUACAAAUGAACCCAAAACUUUUAUUUCAUCCAACUAUGUGAAUCUUUUUUUCUUAUUGUGGCUAAAUUAAUAGUUAAAAACCAAUAUAAGCAGUGUUCAGCUUCAGUAGAAACUUUGAAAACUAGAAUCAUAUGUAUAUUCAUCAGUAUAUUUGGAAAAUAAGUUGUUCUAAUUAAAUAAAUUUUCUAGUUUAAUGAGAAUAAGAUAACUCCUUUUUUGUUUUGUUUUGUUUUGUUUUGUUUUGCUGUGUAUAGUAAAAAAUCUAGCUAAAUAAUAUUGGCUUACUAUUUUACCUUAAAGAGGAAGAAUAUGACAAUGAUAAUAAAUAAUUCUGGAUAUUAGAAUGUCAAAGGUUUGACUUUUCCCAUUCCUUAAUUCAUUCAUUUGACAAAUAUUUCCUGAGUAUCUAUUGUGGCCAGGCACUGUUCUGUGCAUAUGCUCUAUUUGAUAAUUAUUACACAUGCCAUAGAAGACAACAUAGACAAAGAGUAGAGCUUAAAAGAGUAGAAAUUCAAAGUUAUAUCUUGGAAAUUUCUCUAAAAAUUCCUAUCAGCUUGUUUUGAGCAAUACAAUUAUUUUACCUAUAAGUUUAUAAUAUAUUUCCUCUGUAUGCUCAUCAAACAAACUCUGCAUAAUUGAAGAUUCUGGUUAAUCACAGUUUUACUGCAGUGCAAGAUAAUUCUAUAAAGCAAUUACUAGAACAUUAUUGGAAACAGAGGUUAUUUACUUGUGCAUGACUGACAGAAAUCCACUUAUAAUCAGCACUCUUUCUGCACUACCUACAUGAAAAGCCCAUCUUUUGAUAGAAAGGUAUUGUGGCAUAGAAACAGGAGUCAGACAAACCUCAGGAGUCAGACAAACGUGGCUAUUUGACUAUGGGGUAAGUUCCCUAAGCUCUUAGAUCUGAACUUUGGAAAUAUCAUUCCAGCUGCAGUGUGGUGAAUGAAUGAGUGUGAGAUAAGACUAGGGGGAGGGAAACCAGUUAAGGGCCUGUCAUGAUGCAGAAACAAGUGUAGCCUUCUUAUAAGUGGAGGAAGUGAGAUUAAGAGAAAUCAUGGAUUUGAGCAUUACUAAGAAAUUUUAAAAGUAGUAUGUUCAGGAAAGAAGACAGGCUGAGUGUGAAUGUUAAGAGUUUAAGGCAUAAAGCAGAGAAUCUAGGUCUCGUGCUUGGUUAUCUCUGUGGAUGGCAGUGUCAUUAAUCAGGAGAGGGAACACAGGAAAAGUAAAGUUCUUAUGGGAAAAGAUGACAUGGAUUUUGUCUGAGGUGCCUGAUGGAACCUCAAGGUAGUGACAUAUAACAUAUGAUUAGAAUACAGGUCUGGGAAUAUUGAAGGGCAUAUGACAAAAUCAAAGGCAAUCAUUGCUGGCCAUUACUGUACAGACAUCCAUAUUGGCUGAGUGUAUCUUUGCUUCUCCCACUGGGCUGGAAACAUGCAGAGUUCAAGGACCAUGAACAAUUUGUUUUAGUGUAGUAUGGUAAUUCAUCAUUUGGAAUUGUUUUGUAACCACUGGCACUACCUGAAGGACCCAUCUAGAUUUUCUUAUAGUCCCUUAGUUUUCCUGAUGCUGAUCAAAAAAAAGUCUGUGGUUUCACUUCUGGUAAUCAGUAUACUAGUGCUAGGUUUGGAUGUGGUUUGUCCCCACCAAAGCUCAUAUUGAGGCCUAAUUCUUCAGAGCAGUGGUGUCAGAAUGUGUGGCUUUUAGGAGAUGAUUAGGUCAUGGUGCACUGUCUUACACAAAAGGAUUAAGCUCUUUCUCCAGAGACUGGGUUAUGUCUACAAAGACUGGAUAAGGUCUAAUGGGAUUGAAUUUGGCCUCACAGGAUUGGAUUAGUUGGUGUGAGAGCAGACUGUUAUAAAGCAAGUUUGCUCUGUCUUGCUAUUUGAUAUCCUAUAACACCCCAGAACUGCAGUGUCCCCACCAGUAAGAAGGCACUCACUGAUUGUGGCCCUUUGACCGUGAGCCUCCAGAACCAAGAAGUGAAUAAAUGUUUAUUCCUUAUCAUUUAUUAGGUCUGUGAUAUUUACUUACACAACAGAAAGCACACAUAGAAGUUCAAACUUUAGAAUAUGUAUCUCAAAAUUAAAACACCGCCCUCAGUUUGCUUUUCUCAUACAGUUGUUGAGUGUAACAUUUUGGAAUCACACAAACAUACUUCAUCACUGGGAAAAAGCAUUCAAAUCAGAAAAGACACAAAUGGCCCCAAGAUAGAACAUGCUUGGUCCAUGAGGGGACCAUGGACCAUGAGAUGCUAGGGGCCAGGCACAAGUCAUGCAGGGGCUGUGCAAAUAGCCAGAGGUAAGAACAGUCCUUAUUCAGGGAAUUGCAGUCUUACUAAUUCAAGUGGUAGAGGAGCAAGGCUGCAGAAAUAUUUGUUGAGGAAGGAGAUUCCUAUCACAAAGGGCCUUAUAAGCUACAUGAGGAAGUGAGGACACGCUGGUUGUUUUCCUGAAAGUAGUGGGAAAUUUUUUAAAGAGUUUACAUUAGGGACAUUCACAGUUUAGAAAGAUUACAUGAAGGAGAUUUACAAUUUAGAAAGAUCACGUUCGUGGUCACAUGGAGAAUGGACUGGCUGAGGCAAGAAUGGUGGCAGCCAAGGGGUAGCAACAAAACUCCAGGUGAGAUAUGACAGUGGUCUGGCCUACACUGGAGGCACAGAGAGAGGAAAGUGAGUAUUCAAGAUAUUGAACAGCUAUAACUUGCAGACAGUGCUAUGGAUGUAGGGAGUCAGAGAAGAAAGGAUGGAAGGAUCACAGUUGCAUGGGAUUCUGCAUUGUGCAGAUCAUAUUGUGCCUUCCAUGACAAUGGUGGUCCCUGUGUUGUGCCUUUGUUAGGGAACCAGCACCAAACCUAGUUCCAUUUAACUUUCCCGCUCCUUCCACCAAAGUAAAAGAUAUAAAGACUCACCAUUUCUUAAGUCAUCAUAAGAUGUAUUCCUCUUAGCACAUUGUAAAAUUCUACAAACUGAGUUGCCACGUAGAGGAGAUACCUAUACUCACCAGUUCUGAGAUUUGACUUAUUGAAACCCGAGGCAUAUCCAGUUUCUCACACACUGACCACUAGCAUGAACCACAGAUUUUUGUCAAAGAAGUAUUUUAAAAAUGGCUAUGGUUUACCACAGCACCUCAAAGUUUUGUGUGUGUGUGUUUUUUUUUCCUACUAUACUAAAGGCUGUCCAUCCAUUACGUGGAGAAUUACCUUUUUCAACCUAUUUUUUAAUUUAGUUACCCUGAAGUUCUUGCUUUUAAUUUGUUACAAUGCUACUUCAGACAGGAUGUACUUCAUUUGAAAAGAAGAAGAUGGUGAAGGAACUUUCAAGAGUUUAUUUCUCUGAAACCAUUUUAAGAAGCAAAAAUUCACAACUUUUUUCUAAGAACUUGGAAUAGUUUUUAGUAAAUGUGAUAAAGAAAAUUUGCAUAAUUUUUAAAAAUAGUAGUUUAGCUGUAUUUGCCAAAAAACCUGAAAAUUAUUCAUACUUGAAUCUGGGGUAAGAAAGGAAAAUACUGUUAGGGAAUUUUAAGUGAAAUUUGUUAUUUUACUAAUUUUUGUUUAUUAAGUUGUGGGAAAGACAAUGAAAUCCCAGUUCCAUCUGAUGUGUUUGUUAUUGAUUUAUUAAUUUUAAGAAGGAUGGUUAUGGAGACAUCGAAAUCAGAAAAUUUUCCCAUAGCUCAAUCUGUGCGUGUCGUGCCUGCUAGUUUUUCAUAAAAUAGCUUCAAUAAUGAGUAUAUGUUCCAUGUUCUCAUUGUUCACUAAUAGAGAUGAUUCAUAUAUAGCAGGUUAGCUUGUUCAUUAUUAAUGUUUUUGAUAUUUUAAGUGCUUUUUCUAGGUGUCAAUGCUGUGGUUUGGUUUUGGUUUUCAUUUUGGAAAUACAAAGAAUAAAAUCCUAACACACUUUGCUUCCACUGACAGCAAAUAUUUUGCUUUCAGAAUCUUAUUACUUUUUAUUACCUGCUGAAUUACAUUGGAAUAGAAAAAUUUGCAUUUCAUAAAUGUAAUCCAAAAUUAUUUAAAAUUUUAAGUAUAAAAAAUAAAUUUAUUUCUUUUCUUGGAAAAGAACCCUUUCUGCUGGGCACAGUGGUGCACACCUAUAAUCCCAGCAGCUUGGGGUGCUGAGGCAGGAGGAUCUCUAGAGUUCAAAGCCAGUCUCAACAAUUGCAAGGCGCUGAGCAACUCAGUGAGACCUGUCUCUAAAUAAAAUACAAAAUAGGGCUAGGGAUGUGGCUCAGUGGUUGAGUGCCUCUAAGUUCAAUCCCUGGUACUGCCUGCCCCAACCUAAAAAAAAAAAAAAAAAAAAAAAAAAAAGAAUGCUUUCUAAUUGUAGUAAAGCCAGAACUGUGUUUCAAUAUAUUAAGUUAUUUAUGUCUUCCAUAUCAUUUGGCAUUGUCCCUAGAGGAUCCAACAAAGGAAGUUUCCAUGUGCUCUUAUAGUGUUUUUUUAAAAUAAAUAACUGACAGCCAAGAUGAUUUCUUCCAUUUUGGUCUCUCAUUAGAGUCUAUUCAAGGUGACUUAUAUUAAUAAUCAUCUUUUUUUAAUAGAGUACUUUCUUUAUAACCUUGAUUUCCAUAACAAAUGAGCAUAGCUCUAUAUGUACCUACAUGUUAGAAACACUAGAUGGGAUCUCAAGUUCUGAAAAGGAGGUUGAACUAGUGACCUUUCAUAAGACUCAGCAAUAAUAAGGAGAUUAUAAGGUUUUCAUGUAUUAUUCAUUUUACCAGCUUCACUCUGAAAUAGAGGAGCAAGUACACUUACUCAUACCCAAAUUAGAUAAUAUUUCAUGUUUAUCUGGAACCUAAAUCUUGGUCUUUUGACUUUCUUUUCUUAUAGAAUAACCACAGUAGCUUAUAAUCAACUUGUCUAUUUUCUGAACCUUUCUAGAUGACCUCUUACUUCCAAGACACUUGGGUUUCCCCCGCCCUUGCUGCCCUCUCAAGGUUACUAGCUCUGUGGAAUUAUGAUAGAGGUAUGAAGACUCAGCAGGUCAUCUGACCUUAGAUGACUCAUCAAAAGCAAGCUGGUGGAAAAAUAUAAAAAAUAAAUCCUAAUCUUCAACUUAAAAUCUGCAUGGUUAACCAUGUAUGUAAAUGAUUUAUCACCUUUUGGAGGGAAUCACUGGUUUACAUCCUCAAGAAAGUUAACACCAUAUAUCCUUUGGUAAGACAACAUUACAUUUUAGAGUUCUUACAGCAAAUGUGAAAACAAAAUACGUAAAAAGUUUUCUGGAUCAAAUGACGGGUAGAGCAUCAAAACACAUCGAAGAAUCAUAGUUAAAUAUAGUUUUGACCUGAUGGUAUAAAUAUAUAUAAACUAUUUAAGAAACUUUAAAUUCUUUGUAAUCUAAUGCAUUGCCUUUCAAAACUUGAACUAAUAAUAACAAACCAGCAAUGCUAUUUUAAGUAGAUCAUAUAUACGUAUGAUCUACUUAAAUAUAUAUAUGAUAUUAUAUAUAAUAUAUAUACAAUAUAUAUAUGAAUGAAUAUAUGUGUGUGUGUGUAUAUGUGUGUGUAUUUGUGUGUAUGUGUGUGUGUAUAUACAGAAAAUAUACCUAGAACGAGGUUUAGUUCACAGCAACAGCUCAACAAAUAUUUGUUGAAAGAAUAAAUUAAUUGAUACAUCAGUCUCAAAUCUGAAGAAAACCCUGAGACUCAUGAUAAAUUUGAGAUCACAUGUGUGUUAGUCAACUUUUUGUUGCUUUAACCAAAAUAGCUGACUACCACAACUUAGAUGAGAAGAUGUUUACUUUGGCUCAAGGUUUCAGAGGUUCAGUCCAUGAUUGGCUGACUCCUUCGUCCUGGGUCAAAGGAGUCAUCAUGGCCAAAGGGUGUGGCUGGGGAACACUGCUCUGCUCAUGGCAGCCAGGAAGCAGAGAGAGAGGAGGAGGGGUGUAGGGAAGAUGAACACUUCCAACCACCUCCUCUAACCAUUGCCCAGUUAGUUCAUCAUUAAUCCACCAAAUACAUUAACCCACUGAUUAGUUUACAUCUCUCAUAAUCUAAUCAUUUCACCUCUGAAAAUUCCUUCAUGGACACAGGCAUUAUGAAGGACACCUAAUAUGCAAACCAUAACAACUGCUAAAAAAGAGGGAAUCAAAUUAAUGAGGAUGAAGAAGUACUAAGAAUGUGCAUAGAUAAGAGGUAUGGACUCAGAAAGGAGGUAAAAUUAUUAUUAUAUCAUGACUUCAUUAAUAGUUUCCAUAAGAUAAUCAUAGUAAAAGAAAUAUAUAAAAAUGAGUAACUUUUAGACACAGAUAAUUACUAAGGAAAGGUAAAGGAAAAUGUGUCAUCAAUAAUAGAAGACAGAUGUAAAUAAAUAAACAAAUUUCAUAAAAAUAUUCAGGACUUAAAUGAAAAAACCUACAAAUCUGUACUGAAAGACGUAAAAAAGAUUAGAAUAAAUAGAGAGCUAACCUCAAAUUAGAUGAUAAACUUUGAAAUCAAGAUUCAAAUAGCCCCCUACACAUCUACAAAAAUGGCAAAAAUCCAAAACACUAACAACAUCAAAUGCUGACAAGGAUGUGGAGCAACAGGAAUUCUUAUUCAUUGCUGGAAAGAAUGCAAAUGGUACAGCAGUUUUAGAAGACAGUUUGGCAAAUAAACUAAACAUACUCUUACCAUAUGCUCCAACAAUUGGUCUCGUCAAUAUUUAUCUAAGUGAAAAAACUUAAAACUUAUGCCCACCCAAAAAACUAAACACAGAUAUUUAUAACCACUUUAUUAAUAAUUACCAACACUUAAGAGAAAACAAAAUGUCUUUCCGUAAAUGAAUGAAUCGAUGGUGGCACUUCAAACAAUGUAAUAUUAUUCAAUAAUACAAAAGAAAUAGGGCUGGAGUCAUGGCUCAGCCGUAGAGCGCUUGCCUUGCACAUGCGAGACCCUGGGUUUGAUCCUCAGCACCACAUAAAAAUAAAUAAGUAAAAUAAAGGUAUUGUGUCCAACUACAACUAAAAAAUAAAUAUUAAAAAAUGAAAUAAGCUAACAGGAAUGGAAACAUAUAGAGGAAACUGAAAUGCGUAUUUCAUAGUAAAAGAAGUCAAUCUGAAAAGAUGACAUUGUCUAACUACAACUGCAUGACAUUCUGGAAAAGGCGAAAGAAUGGAGACAAUUAAAAAUUGUCUAAUGGGAAAGGAGGGAAGAAUAGGCUGAACAAAAGGAUUUUUUAUAGUAGGGAAAUUAUUCUGUAUGAUGUGACCAUCCAAACAUUAUUAGUACAUAUCAUUAUAGUACUUGUAAUUAAUACAUAUCAUUAUAGUAUUUGUCAAAACCCAUACAAUGUACAACACCAAGAGUGAAUCUUAAAGUAAACUAUGAACUUUGGGUGAUAAUGAUGUAAGUUCACCAAUUUUAACAAAUUUACCACUGUGCUGAAGGAUGUCAAGAGUGGGGAGGCCAGCAUGUGUGGGGGAAUGCAUCAUAAGAGAUAUCUCUUUGGCUUCCUUAUUUUUGAUAUUAACUUAAAAUUAUUCUAAGAAAUAAAGUCUAUUUCUUAAUCUAACCACCUUAAUAAAUAACUUGAAUCAGGGUUGGGGACAUAGCCUAGUUGGUAGAGUGCUUGCCUCACUUGUUCAAGACCUGGGGUCCAAUCCCAGCACCAUUUAAAAAGAAAAGAAAAAAAGAACUUGAAUCAAAUAUUUUAGUGUUCAACUUGUAUAAUAAAUACACAAAAAUUUCCAGGAAAAUUUUGCAAAGGAAGAGUUCUAAUGGUGAAGAAUUGAAAAGGGGAAUGGGCCCUAAAAUUUUUCAAAGAAUAAUGUGAAGUUACCUUACAUAAAAUGGGCUAGUGUUAGAAAAGGGAGAGGCAGAAGGAAUUGUGACUCAGAAUAAACUCAGGAAAAGACACAAAUUUAUCUUACAAUAUCAAAUACAAUUAAAAGAGGCAUUUCAAAUAAAUGGGUCAAAACAGAUUAAUCACUUAGAUACUGGGAUGACUGGACAGUGAGUUGGAAAAAAAAAGAAGGGACACUUAUACCUACCUGAUUCCUUAGGUCAAGUGUAAAUGAAUCAAAAAUUUCUUGUACAUUAUGAUUAAAUGCCUAGGAUAUAAAAAUUAUCAUUUAAAGUACAAAAUUCACUGGGUUAUAUAUUCAUCACAACCAUCUAGUUCCAGAACAUUUCCAUCAUCCCCAAAGAAAACUCCAUACCCAUCAAGCAGUCACUCCCCACCGCCAGCCCCUAAAACCACUUACUGCUUUCUGUUUCUGUGAAUUUGCCUACUCUAAUAAUGUCUGGAAAGGGAAUCAUGGGAUGCGUGCCUUGUGUCCAGCUUCAUUCAUUCGGCGUAAUGCUUUUAAUGUUCAUCCACGUUUCAGCAUACAUUGGUACUUCAUUCUGUUUUGUAGUUGAAUAAUAUUUCUCUGUAUGAAUUUUUCUCUGUUUAUUGAUUUACCAGUUAAUGGACAAAGAUUUUUAAAAAGGGACACUUAUAAGAACUAGAAGAAAACAUACUUGAAUAUUUUUAUAAUUUAUGGGUAGAGAAGGCCUUUGAAGCAUGAAAUAAAAAUCUAUGAAAUAAAACACAUAAAAGAGAAUUUUUCUAUGUAAAGGGUGGAGGGAAGCUAUAGUCUUCAAAGAUGUCAAUUUCACUAAAGACAAAAAAAUAAAAAUCUGUAGAAAAGUCCCAGAGAUGGGACACUAAAGAAACAUGACAAUUAGAUGCAAUUUCUAACCUUAGACAAGAAUCUGUACUAGAGAAAAAUUGUUACAAAGAAUAUUAUUGUACCAAUUGACAAAAUUGAAAUAUAAAUGGUAAAGCACUUUAUCAAAGUUAAAUUUACAGAUGCAGAUAAUUGUGCUGUGUUCAUGCAAGAAAAUAUCCCCCCCUUCCUCCCCCUCCCCCUCCUUCUCCUUCUCCUUCUCCUUCUCCUCCUUCUCCUUCUUCUUCUCCUUGGCAAUACUGAGGAUUGAAUUCCACUCUAUUACUGAACUACAUCCCCAGUACUUUUUAUAUUUUAUUUUGAGACAGUGCCUUUCAAAGUUGCUGGGGGUAUCGCUAAAUUGCUGAUGCUGGCCUUGAAUCUGUGAUCCUACUAACUCAGCCUCCCAAGUAGCAAGGAUCACAGGGGUGUGCCACAGUGACCUAUAAGAUCCCUACUCUUAAGAAAAUAUGCAUUCAAGAGUACCAGGGCAAAGGGCCAUAAAGCAUGUAUAUGUACACGAGGAAGAGAGAGAGAGCAUAUGCAAAUUGAAUAAAGUGCUAAAAAUAGACUGUGACUAAAGAACAAGUGUUCUUUGUACUAUUUUCAGUCUUGCAACUUUUCUGUGAAUUUGAAAUUAUUUUCAUAUUUAAAUUUUUUUUAAAAAAAGAGGACAGAAUUAUGUGUAAACGUGGACAUGGGAAAAUAUCUAGAAUGUCUGGAAAAAAAGUAGAUUUCAGAUGUGUGUGUGUGUGUGUAAGUUACGUAUACAUACAUGUGGUUUGAAAAGAUAUAUAAGAAGAUUCUUUCUGGAGACUAGGAGGAUUACAGAUGAGCAGGAAAGAGUACUUCUACUUGCUGCUUCAUGUACAUCUAUACUACAUACACUAUACUUGUGAUUUAAAAGAUAACUAAAAAGACUGUAGGAAUGUAUCUAGCUAUAUGACCGUGGUAAUACGAUAUGAGAUAGGGUUAAGGUUAUCAAAUGACAAGGCACUAAACGGUUGGUAACACAGACAAAACCAGACAUAAAAAUUAAGAUUGUAAAUCCACAUUUACAUUUCCUAGUUCACAAUAACAGAGAAACGACAACAACAAAAAAGCUAAAGUCUAUGGAGCACAUUCAACAAUGAUGAUAAUGAUGGUACUGAUGACACAGAAAUAGCUACUUAGUGACAGCCUGUCACUUGUCAAGUGUUGUGCUAUGUGCUUUACCCAUUUCUUUCUGAUUUAAUCCUCACAACAGACCAUUAAAGAUUUAUAAACAAGGAAUUUGAAAUUAAGAGAAUAUAAAUCAGCGUUUAGGAUUAUCUGACUCUACAGUCCAGGCUUCUUUUCCUACAAUAGUCAAAUUGCCUCUCCAACAAAUGUAAAAAUAAAAAUAUUCUUCAAUAAAUGCAUAUCUUAAAAGAAAAGUUUAUUCUAAUAGUAAGAAAUUUAGUGUAUCCAGAUGAAGUAUAUUGCGAUUUUAACUGUUAUAAACAUGGAAAACCAAUUUCUAUUAUAUAGUUCUGCCAAGGCUGCCCAUUUUUCCACUUAGGUUUCAUUGCAACUCUUUCCAAUAAUCUGCCCUCCAGGCCAAUGCAGCAACUAAAGGUCUAAAAGCAACAUAAAAUCCCUUUCGCACAGUAAAGGGCUCUUCACUGAAAAAAAAAAAAAAAAAAAAGAGAGAGAAUUAUCCUGCCCUGCAUGCAUGUGAAAAGAUUGCAUAUUUGCACUCCUCAUUCCUCCAUAAGAGCUAAUCCAAGUUUCAUUACUGUCAAGCUUCUGAACAUUUACAUAAAUGAUAGGUUUGUUAUCACUUAUUACUGGAUUCAGCAGAUUACAUGCAAAAUGUGCAAAGACAUGAUUAAAAAAUCUUUCAUCUUUUAAUCAAAAGAGUAAGCAGCAUUAAUUCAUUUGGCAAGUAUAAUAAAAUACUUUAUUGUAAUACUAUUUUGCAUUUGAGACUACCACAGUACAAAAAUUGUUCCUCGUUAAUGAAAGCUAGUUGGUAUGUAAUUUCACUGUGGCUCUGGGCAAUAAAAUCCUUUUUUUUUUAAAAAAGAAUUAGUUAAAUUUGGCAUGACAUUAUUUUAUAAAAUAAUCAUAUUAUUUGUAAAUAAAAUGAUCUUAUCACAAUGACAUAUGAUCUUGUAAGGCUUACAGGUAGAAAUACCACAGAGAUGGCAGAUGAUGAAAGAAUGGAUAAGAAAUAAGAUUGAAACUCAAAGUCCACUGUGUUUCUGUUAAAAUUCGUUUUGAGAAGCUGCAAAAGGAAAAAUAAAAACCUUCCCAAUCUUAUUCUUUUCCCAAUCUUACAACAGAAAUAGAUAUGCACAUAAUGAUAACACAAAACAGGAUACAUACUAAUGCCAUAACAAAAGAAGCGACAUACUAAUUUUUCUUAAAAAGGAUCCUGGAAGACUUCAUCUAGAAGAUGCCAUUUUAAUGAACCUUGGACAAAUGGGCAGGAAAGCAGGAAGUAAAGGAAGAAGGGAGCAGGGUGAAAAAGAUGUAUAAGGCACAGUCUUGACAACCAUUUAUAUGGCAAAUUUUUAUUCUGCAAUAAACAGAAAGCUGCAAGGUUUUCAGCAAGAUGGUUUGAAAUUAAAUUGUCAUUACUGCCAUAAGGAGUACUCUGAGGGUUACUGUGAAGAGGACAUAAGAUUAGGAGAAAAUUAUGGCAUGGGAUAGAAAACCAGUGAAGUGGCUUCAAUGGUUGAUUGGUCUGUUUAUCCACCCCAGUAAGUUGUCAUGGAAUUCUCCAGGCCAGAUAGUAUUUUUUCCACAACUUUACAGUUUCCAAACCACAAGGAUUUGACAACUGCUGCUGAAUGUAUGGCUAAAAGAAAAUGAACUCUUAUACUAGGAUAAUGGUUGUGAGGGUAAAAAAAAACAAAAUAAAUAAAUAUAAUAAAUACAACAUUCUAAUUAAGGAGGUAGCAUUGUGAAGUCAUGUUGGCCAGUUGGGUAUGAAAAAUGAGAGACAAAGGAAUUCAAUUGUUAUUCAUUUUUUUUAUAGUAUGGGGCUUCCAUCUGGCAAUCACAAAGCACUUUUUAAAAUUCUAAUUUGUUAUAUAUGACAGCAGAAUGCAUUACCAUUCAUAUUAUACACAUAGAGAACAAUUUUUCAUAUCUCUGGUUGUACACAAAGUACAGUCACGCCAUUCGUGUCUUCAUACAUAUACUUAGGGUAAUGGUGUCCAUCUCAUUUCACCAUCUUUCCUCCCUCCCCAUCUCCCCUCUCUUCCUCUCCCUCCUCUUUGCUCUAUCUAGAGUUCCUCUAUUCCUCCCAUGCUUCCCCUCCCGAUCCCAUUAUGAAUCAGCCUCCUUAUAUCAGAGAAGACAUUUGGCAUUUGGUUUUCUGGGAUUGCCUAACUUCACUUUGCAUUAUAUUCUCCAACUCCAUCCAUUUACCUGCAAAUGCCAUGAUUUUACUCUCUUUUAAUGCUGAGUAGUAUUUCAUUGUGUAUAUAUAACCACAUUUUCUUUACCCAUUCAUCAACUGAUGGGCAUCUAGAUUGGUUCCACAGUUUAGCUAUUGUGAAUUGUGCUGCUAUAAACAUUGAUGUGGCUGUGUCCCUGUAGUAUGCUGUUUUUAAGUCUUUUGGGUAUAGACCACGGAGUGGGAUAGCUGGGUCAAAUGGAGGUUCCAUUCCCAGUGUUUCAAGGAAUCUCUGUACUGCUUUCCAUAUUGGCUGCACCAAUUUGCAGUCCCACUAGCAAUGUAAGAAUGUGCCUUUUUCCCCACAUCCUUGAAAACAUUUAUUGUUGUUUGUAUUCUUAAUAGCUGCCAUUCUGACUGGAAUGAGAUGAAAUAUUAAGAGUAGUUUUGAUUUGCAUUUCUCUAAUUGUUAGAGAUGUUGAACAUUUUUUCAUAUAUUUCUUGAUUGAUUGUAUAUCAUUGAGAACUAUCUCUUCAGUUCCUUGACUCAUUCAUUUAUUGAUUGGGUUAUUCGGUGGUUUUUUUUUUUUUUUUUUUUGGUGUUAAGAUUUUUGAGUUCUAUAUAUACCCUAGAGAUUAGUGUUCUAUCAGAUGUACAUGUGGUAAAAAUUUGCUCCAAAAAUAUAGGCUUUCUAUUCACCUCACAGAUUGUUUCUUUUACUGAGAAGAAGUUUUUUAGUUUGAAUCCAUCCUAUUUAUUGAUUCUUGAUUUUAAUUCUUGCUCUAUAGGAGGAAUUAAUCUUAUUAAGGAAGUUAGGCCCUAAUCAGACAUGAUGGAGAUUUGAGCCUACUUUUUUUUCUAAUAGGCACAGUGUCUCUGGUUUAUUUCAAGUGAUGAAAUAGAAGAUGCCAUUAGAAGCCUACCAACCAAGAAAAGCCCAGGACUGGAUGGAUACACAGCUGAGUUCUACAAGACCUUUAAAGAAGAAUACCAAUACUCUUCAAAUUAUUUUGUGAAACAGAAAAAGAGGGAGCACUUCCACACUCAUUCAAUGAAGCCAGCAUCACCCUGAUUCCAAAUAGAGGCAAAGAAACAUCAAAGAAAGAAAACUUCAGACCAAUAUCGCUAAUGAACAUAGAUACAAAAAUUCUCAAUAAAAUUCUGGCAAAUCGAAUACAAAAACAUUUCAAAAAGAUUGUGCACCAUGAUCAAGUGGGGUUCAUACCAGGGAUGCAAAGUUGGUUCAACAUACAGAAAUCAAUAAAUGUAAUUCAUCACAUCAAUAGACUUAAAGAUAAGAAUCAUGUGAUCAUCUCAAUUGAUGUAGAAAAAGCAUUCAACAAAAUACAGCACCCCUUCAUGUUCAAAACACUAGAAAAACUAGGGAUAACAGGAACAUAUCUCAACAUGAUAAAAGCUAUCUAUGCUAAGCCCCAGGCCAACAUCGUUCUAAAUGGAGAAAAAUUGAAGGCAUUCCCUCUAAAACCUGGAACAAGACAGGGAUGCCCUUUUUCACCACUUCUAUUUAACAUAGUUCUUGAAACACUGGCCAGAGCAAUUAGACAGACAAAAGAAAUUAAAGGGAUACUGAUAGGUAAAAAAGAACUCAAAUUAGCACUAUUUGCCAAUGAUAUGAUUCUAUGUAUAGAAGACAAAAAAAAUUCCACCAAAAAACUUCUAGAACUAGUAAAUGAAUUCAGCAGAGUAGCAUGAUACAAAAUCAACACCCCAAAAUCAAAGGCAUUUCUGUACAUCAGCGACAAAUCCUCUGAAAGGGAAAAUAGGAAAACUACCCCAUUUACAAUAGCCUCAAAAAAAAAAACAAAACUGGGGAAUCAACUUAACAAGAGAUGAAAGAACUAUACAAUGAAAACAACAGAACACUAAAGAAAGAAAUUAAAGAAGACCUUAGAAGAUGGAAAGAUCUCCCUUGUUCUUGGAUAGGCAGAAUUAUUUCUGUGAAAAUGACCAAACUACCAAAAGCACUUUACAGAUUUAAUGCAAUUCCAAUCAAAAAUCCCAAUGAUAUUCCUCACAGAAAUAGAAAAAAAGUCAUAAAAUUCAUCUGGAAAAAUAAGAGACCCAGAAUAGCUAAAGCAAAUCCUUAGCAAAAAGAGUGAAGCAGGUGGCAUCACUAUACCAGACCUUAAACUAUUCUACAGAGCAAGAGUAACAAAAACAACAUGGUAUCGGCACCAAAAUAGAGUUGUAGACCAAUGGUACAGAAUGAAGGACACAAAGACAAACCCACAUAACUACAGUUAUCUUAUAUUAGACAAAGGUGCCAAAAACCUACAUUGGAGAAAAGAGAGUCUCUUCAACAAAUGGUGCUGGGAAAACUGGAAAUCCAUACGCAAAACAAAGUAAAAUUAAACCCCUAUCUAUCACCAUGCACAAAACUCAACUCAAAAUUGUUACUCAAUUUAUUCCAAUAAAACUUUACUGAACACUUACUAUGUGCCUGAAGUGUGGUGGGUGCUAAAAUAUACAUAAAUGAAUUAAUGUCUGGUCCAUACUAUCCCAGAACUGGAGGUGACACUUGAGAGAUAAAUAAUAACACAGUUAAAUAAAAAUAAUACACAAUAAUAUGGCAUAUGAGUAUGCAAUAAUUUGCAGACAAUAUUCACAAAUAGAAAUAAAAAUCAUUUUUCCUGGGGAGAGUGAGGGAAAUCUUCAUUGAGGAAGUGGUGGUUUUCUAGGACUUUGAAUUUUCCAGGUCAGUUGCAGGAGGCUAUCUGGCACAGGUGAAUUAAAAUUUAUAAGUGUGUGGAGGUUUCAAAAAUCAUUCAUGUGUGCACACUGUGUGAGCACAUCUAUAAUCAUUUUGAUAUUGCAAAAAAAUAAAAUGCAAGAUGGAACUGAGAACUGAUGGGAAAGGAUAUAGGAGAGCUGGAUAGGUGAUAAAAAGUCUUUGUGUUGCAAGCCAAGGGGCAUGGAGUUGAUUCUCUGAGUAAAGGGGAGUCCGUGAAGGGUUUUCAACUCCACAGCGGCUGGCUGGUUUUCCACAUAGGAAAAGAGCCUAUGAACAGUGUCGGAAAAAAAAAAAAAAUUAUGAGCAGAUGAGAGGACGAAGAGAAGGGUAAAUAGACUGAUGCAAGAGGCCAGAUAAACAAUAAUAAAAACUUCAUUAAAGACAAUAAUAGAGGCCCCAGGAGCAGCAGGUUCCGGUGCCGACUUGGCUACGUCCAAGAACCACAUCACCCACAACCAUUCCUGUAAAUUGCACAUAAAUGGCAUAAAGAAACUCCUAUCACAAAGAUAAGAAUCUCUUAAGGGGGUGGGCCCCAAGUCUUGAG
rnacentral:lncRNA from 1 species